AAAAAAGGUGAAAGUCCAAUUAAACCAGCCCAAUUGACUUUAUCGGGCCCAAAUUGCACCGAACCGUAAUCCUUCCACUGCAGAGAGCGGGAGGUAAUCGCUGCUCUGUGAGGCCAGCCUGACACGGUGCCCUCCACUCUAAAGGCCGCGAAUCUCAACCCUUCGAUUGAAACUCACGACCCAGCUCACCACUUGGAAUGGGCGGUCCAGAUUACGCAAUCAAAGGUCCAGCCAACCGGCCCGGUUCAACGUCCAAUCACCCUUAUUGCCUCCACUCGGAUUACAAGCCCACGUGACUAGGCUCGGCGAUAAAUAUAUGCGGGAAAAUAAUUAAUAUAUUGGUCAGAAGAUGUUUUCAUUUUCGAUGUGGGAUGAAAUCACCUUUUUCAUUUCAAAUUCCAAUGGAAUUAAUUUCAAAUUUCCAAUAUUUUUUUUUUUCUGAAAAAUAAAAUCUAUAUAUCAUCAAGAUUAUUAUGUAUUUUACAAUAUAAAAUAAAUAUUGAAUGUUCAGAUUCCACUACAAUUUUGGAACAAGAGCUUUUUCAUUCCAGUUUUCGAAAUUUUGAUUUUCUUUUAUUAUUUCGAAACGAAAAUUGCAAUUAAUUUUUCAUUUUUCAUAAAUAAUAUCCUUUGUUUUUUGGAAACUUAGGAGUGAUCCUGCAAUAAAUCUUUUAGUGCAUUAUUUUGACCCACCAUGCAUAAAAUUCUGGCUCCGCCAUCGGUCGUAGAGGAAAAGUAUAGGAUUGAUCGUGCAAGAACAUUGCAACAACUUAGCAAAUCCGUUCUUGAGAAUUCGGGGUCCUAGACGAGGUUUAAAGAACAACUGAAAACUUUGGCCCCGAUUUGGUAAACCAUUUUUUUAUUAAUGGGUGUUCGAAAUUGAAUGUACUAAAAAAAUAUAAAUAGUAUUUUCUAAAAAUGAUGACAUAAAAGAUUAUGGGGGUUCGGGGACAAUGCUCCUAUACUUAUGCUCUACGACCGUUGGCCGUGAUUGACAUAUACCAUUAUUUAUGGAUCAAAUUAAAUUUUAAUUCUUAUUUUUGUUGUACUUACUCAUCUUGACGUAGAAGGCACACGAGUUUCAAGUGGCCCCACGUAUUGUGUAAAAAACAUUGGAUAGAUGAUUCGAACUUGUAUCAUUUGAUUCAACACUCUCUUACUCACCGACUAAGACUACCCUCACGAACCAAACAACCGAAUCAUAAUUUAAAAAUGUGUCACAAAAAAAAAAAAAAAAAAAAAAAAAAAAAAAAAAAAAAAACAACUCACCUCAUAAUUUAAAAAUGUGUUAAAAAAACAAAAAAAAAAGGUGAAAGUUCAAUUUGGACAAGCCCAAGUGACUUUUAUCGGACUCGAAUUGCACCGAACCGCAAUCCUUCCACUGCCGAGAGUGGGAGGUUAUCGCUGCUCUGUGAAGCCAGCCUGACGCGGUGCCCUCCACUCUAAAGGCAACGAAACCCGACCCUUCGAUCGAGCCUCGAGACCCAACUCCCAGCUUGGAAUGGACGGUCCAGAUUAAGCAAUUAAAGGUCCAGCCACUUAGGCUAAUCAAAUGUCCAAUCACCUUAAUACCUCCACUUGGAUUAUAAGCCCACGUUACUAGGCUCGGUGUCUUAAUCAUGCAAUUAGUGGAUUAAUAAACUCAUCCCAAGAUGUAUCUUCUAACGAUGUGGGAUAAUUUGCUAAAUCUACUAGCUCUUAUCAAACCAUAUUUUAGAAAUGCACAACCAAUGUUUUGUCAAGAAAGAAGUGCAUUAUUCCUUCUUUUUGAAAUUAUUUUACUGUUUUACACUUAUUUUUUGUACAAGUCAUAUUUCAGAAAUUGAAAGUUGAGAGAAUUUCGAAUUUUAUAGGAAUGUUUUGAAAUAGUGAACAAAAUCUCAAUGUGAUCAGUAAAUGUCCCGCUGCAAUUAGCAUUUCAAAUUUAUGAAUCAAUAUAGUCGCUUAAACAAUCGAUGUAGCACGGAAACUUCAAUUUUUUAACGUUUCCACUUCUCGGACAUGUUUCGUGUCCCAGAGGACACCUGCCGGACACUUCAUGGGUCAUUUUAUAAUUUCUAAAAAGUUUGAGACAUGUGUGAAUAUCAAAUUUUUUAAAUAUAUUUGUUGUUUCCUUAAUUAUUUGCAUGAUUUAAUGAUCAAUUACAAAUUGAUAAUAAAAUAUAUUUUAAAUAUGUUUGUAUGACAAAAAAAAGUUAUAUAUGAAUAAAAACUUAUAUAUGUUUAUAUAUAUCAUAUUUAUAAAUAUACUUCUAUAUUUUCAAUAUUUACAUAUUUCCCCCAAACUCUCCGUAUCUCCGUUUCUAGGGCAUGCCGUUUUCAUAGCUUUUAUACAUAUGUAUUUUUUCCUACCAUGGAAUUCUAAAUACUUAUUUAACACUUCAUUUUUAUAUAACAAAUUUGAUUUACUUCCUAUCAUAUUCAAGGUUGCAAAUGAGGGAUACUUUGAAAAGGAACAAUAGAAUUCCGAUUUCUUUGCAAAAUAUCGCUUAUGUGUGGGCAAUUGCAGUCGAAGUUUACGGAAGAAGACGAAAGAAAGUACAAAUAUCGCUUAUGUGUGGGCAAUUGCAGUCGAAGUUUACGGAAGAAGACGAAAAAAAGUACAAAUAUCGCUUAUGUGUGGGCAAACAGAGGCUAUUUUACUAAGAUUACUAGAAGCUAUUUUACCAUUGACUGAAAUCAACAGUGUAAUACAGUUAAUUUUACUGUCCAAAAAAAAUGUAAAUACAAAGAUAAUACUUCUGAUAAAAAGCUAUUCAUAGAAAUUUGCUUCUUCCGUAAAAAAAAACAUAUGUUUAAUUUCUGGGUCUUGUCUCAGUUAGACGGUCUUUGACAAGCAGAAAAUAGCUGCCAGCUGACGAAAGCCAUCGCCAACGAAGUGAAAAGCUCGAAUCCUACUACUUUUGGGAAUUGCCAUUCCAAUCCCCGUCUCAUAUAGCUGCAAGAAUCUCCAAACAACACACAAACGGCAUAAAUAAGUGCGUGCAUUAUAUUAACAGAUAAAUCGUCGUAAUACAUUGAUAAACGAUAAUGUAAGAUGGAAGUGUAGGCAGAGAGAAAUCACACCUUGUGAUAGAUGGCAUUGUUGCCAAAAUCCCUGCACAAGCGUAUAUAAUCGGAAUCAAGGUUUUGGGCUUGUUUUUCCUAAGCCACAUCAAAGAGCUCAACGAAGCAAGUGAUAUACUCAACACCUGAAACGGUUGACGAGACAUAAUUAUACAUACACCUUCCGAAAAUAAGUAAACAAUAGAGUAGAAUUCAAGAGUUUUUAACUGGAUUAAAAAAACGAACAAAACUAGUAAUAUAACCAAUACGAUAGAAGAAAUUCCGUACCAAAUUGGCAUUUGCUUCGAGACCCUGCAAGAUGUAGUCCCAUGUGAAUUCUAAACCUCUAGCACCUACCCAAAGGGGUGCCAGCCUAUGCAGGACAGCAUCGGCAAAAGCCCAACCUGCCAAAAUUGAGAAUCGGAACUUAAAUAUUCCGAAAGGAAGCAAAUGCAUAUAUAGAUAGCCAUUGGAAGUAGGUUAAAAUAAAACGAGCAUUAUAUAAGUGUCAUUCUGAUUUUAUCCCCUCAUUUUAAUUUUUUUCAAGCUGCUGUCAAGUGCCUAAUAAAAAACGAACAUUGAGAAUCAUCAAUAGAUAUUAGCUUGCAUAUUGAAGCGAUAAAUGGUCUUAUUUAUAGAUUGAUUGACACGUUAAAAAUACUUGGUGGACUCUGUAAUCGUUACGUCGCGGGUUAAUAUUUUUAUACCAUAAUUACGAUAUGGAAACAUCAGAUAGUAACUAAAGAAAGAAAAUAGCACAAGCAAGAGAAAAUAAUUAUUCCAAUUAUGAACCACUCUUUUCUCCAGCAUUAGUAAUAACUAAAAUGUAACAUUAUUUGUCCAUGUUAAAACGUAAGUUGUCGCACUAAAUCAACAAAAUCUCGAGCAGUGAACUCAGAAGAAAAGAUACAAAAAGAAUAGAGGAAUUACACUCACCGAGCCCAACCGCUUGGAAUUUGUGAUUUUGAGAGAUAUUCCUGUGAGUCAAUUGUGUCAAGGCGAAAUAAAUCCCGGCAACAUCUACGAACCCAAUCAACGCUUUCAACAAUUCCUGAUAUAAAAAGAGAAUGGAACAACAGCAAUUCAAAAUUAUUCAUGAUCCAAUAAAAUAUAUCUGAUGAAUAAAUAAAUAUGCCAAAAUUAGAAAAACAAUCAUAAGUCCAACAAGUCAAAAUGCGUAAACUAGAGAGAUUACCUGAUAUGGAUCGAAAGUGUCGCUUUCAGAUACCUUAAGAAACGUUGCAAGACAAACAAGCUGCGGAAACAAAAUGCGUCUGGGUAUUAUGAUUUCAUAGCAAUGAAGAAAACAAACCAUUCAAUCAACCACCAACCUUCACCAACGCCGUUACGAGAUAAACGACACCUGUUCUAAUCGAAGUGCCGAUUGUAUCAUAUUCAGAUCUGUUGGAAUAAAACUAGUCAACACUCAAUAGUCAAUACAGAUGCAAUUUCACAUUUACAAUUCAUAUUUACUAUCUACCAAACCAACAAAAAAAAAAAAAAAAAAACUAUUGUUUAUUUAAUUGAAAACUGAAAUACACAAAUUGCUGCAAUUGAAAGCGCAACCUAAAAAACAACGAAUUUACCUAGAUUGAUGAGAAAUUAGGUAAUCCAACAUUCAUCUCAGAUAAAUUCAAUGGGUUUAAUUUUCCGCAAAUACAUACAUACGUCUAUCAUUGCCCAAAAUUGACAGAAAAAAAAUGAAAAGUUGAAAUUCAGCUUCAACAGCAGUAACAAUGGCGGCCUUGUCAUUCACUAGGAGAUCUGAUGAAAUUAUUAAAUAUCACGUUGUAGAGAUUUGGGGGGGGAAAAUUAUAGUAAAAAACUUACAACGGCGUAGCUGAGUAGUAGACGGCGUGAGGGCCAAAAGUCAGAAUCGCGCAGUUGAAAAAGUGAAAUAAUGUCAUAUUUACUCAAUGUGUUUCUGUGUGAAAGAGAGAGAAGUGUGUGUGUGAGAGAGAGGGAGAGAGAGAGAAAGAAGAGAGAAUUUUGGCAAUGGAGAAGUUGCAGAGCUCAGAGGUGAGAGUCGACGGUAACUGGAUUUAGGCUGUAAAUAUUGAUUGGGCUUUAAUUAUUAUUAAAUAAAUAAUUAAUCUUUUUUUCUUUUUUAGGAAUAUAGCUUUUGUUAUUGAGCAAAUUACGGCCACCAUGAGACUAAAAAAAAAAAAAAUUUCUUUCAUUUAGGUAAUUACAGUUACCCCCUCCUUUUAAAUAUUUUUAUAUAAAAUUUAUGUAAUUCGGUUAUUUACCAAACCAAAUCAUAUAUUCUGUUCGGUAAACGAUAUGAAAUGUUGGCGUACCGAAAUUUCGGUUCGAUUUUACGGAUUUAACAUCCCUUACAUCUGUAUGGAUUUUUUCGUAAGAUAAUACAUAGUUGAGGGGGUGACUGUAAUUAUCCAAACAAAAGGGGGAUUUCAUAAUUUGACCAUAAAGGUAGGUGGCCGUAAUUUGCCCUUUAUUAUUUAUUGAACAAAGAGAUGAGUCGAGACCGGAUGAUGUUCGAAUAGUCAAACUUUAUUGAAUCAUUGAGUAGUUUGAUGUGUAUAAAUAAAGAUCCGACAUCUGGUGAAAUACAUGAUGUGGCUUUGCACUAUAGAUCUACAUAAAAAAUUAACUACUAAGAACAAUAUACAAGUCUAUUCUAUGCUAUACCGGGUGAAAUACACCAGAUAGGUAUUUACCAUUCAGAUAAACAAUAUACACAUCCAUAUUGGUGUGUGUAGAUCAACGGUAAAAAAUCACCCAGUGUAAUCUACACCAGGUCUAUCAUAGAAAUAAGUCAAUAACCACGUACACAUUAGUGUGCGCGUUAUUAUAUGUAAAUCAAUAAUCUGUAGCUAUAUUAUAUAUUUCACCAGGUAUAUAAGUUCUACAAAAUCAGUAAUUCAACGCUCCAUGCAUCGAAGCAUUUUCUUCGGUGUCAUCGUUGUUGUCAAAACAAUUUUUUCCUCCUUUUAUCUAUUGAUGGUUACAAGUUAUAACAAUUCUUUGAAUUGAAUUAUAAUAUGUCACGAUCCAUGAUAAAUACAUGCCCCAACUUUACUUAUUUAGAAAUAUCAUAUUUAUUUUAUAUUUAAAAUAUCAAAAAAGAAAAGAAAAGUCAAUCAACACAAUAUUACACAACAAACAAAAUGAUACUUAAGCAAAUUGAAAACCAUUGCUCCUAAUAAAAAUAGAUCAAGCAUAAAGGUGAGGAGACAAUCUUGGUGUAAGAGCAACUUGAAGUGGAGUGACUUUCACAUUAGUAGCACCAAAACUCCCAGUCAUAUCAACAGCCUCACCAAACGGCACCGUUUCAAUAUCGAAACCAUGCAAUAAACUAGCAAGUGCGUAUUCCGACAUUUGUAGAGCUAACGCAAUUCCAGGGCAUACCCUUCUCCCUCCGCCAAACGGGAGCAGCUCAAAGUGGUUGCCUCGAACAUCGACCUCUUUAUGGCUCGUAAGAAACCUCUCGGGCUUGAACUCAAGCGGUUCGGGCCAAACACGCGGGUCCCGGUGGAGCUUCCAUAUAUUCACGAUGAGUCGUGUGCCAGCUAUCACGUGGUACCCGGCCACCGUGCAGUCCUCGACCGACUCGCGUGGGGCCGGGAGUGCCGUGGGUGGGCAGAGUCGGAGUGUUUCUUUGAUUAUGGAUUUGAUGUAUACUAGGUUUUCGGUGUCGGAUACCCUCACUUGCCUUUCUCGUCCGACGUGGAGGUCUAGUUCUUGGCGGGCCCUUGUGAUGACGUGGCGAUUGUUGAGGAGCAACGAUAGAGCCCAUGUGAGGGUGGCGGUCGUCGUAUCGGUUGAUCCUAAAACCAUUGUCUGCAAACGAGGAUGUAAUAUAGACAUACAUAAUGUGAUUAAAGAAUAUUUAUUAUCUUUCUCAUGUUUCAAACAACAUCAUCUACAAUUAUUAAAAAAUACACCCCCAAUGCUAUCAAUUAUAUCUAAUUGUUCAGAAAAAUCUCAUUUUCAACAGGUCUCAGUAAUUGCAUCUCAUCCAUUAAUUUAGUACUUUUAUCCAAGAAAUAUCAUUAAGAAAAAAAAAAAAGCCAAUGAAAAAGUUGCAAACAAAACCAUAUAUAUUACCUGGCAAAUCGCUUUAUUUAUCGUAUCAGCAUCAUAGGCAGGAAAUUCGAGCGCAAGCCGAUCAGAAGCAACCAUCAUCUCAGACAUAAACCCUUUAUUCUCUUCAAAAUCAUCAUCACAACUAUUGCCCUUGUUUUUCUUACAUCGGUCUAGCCACACUUGUAACAUACAAUCCAUCUCGUUCGCAGUUUUCUUAAACGCCCUGUAAUAAUCCGUCCCACCAAAGAAACCAUCAAACCGCUUGAGAAACGGAAGCACGUCAGGUACCGUAACAACCCCCAUCAUCCGAAAAAACUCGUUGAUCGCCCCCCGCCACCUGUCACUACUCCCCACCCCCAAUCCAUCCAUCUUAUUCUUCUCCACAUCGCCCGCUACUAUCCUCACAAUCAAACCGAGCGUCAUUUCCCCAAAGAAUUUCUUCAUAUCCAACGGCACCUUUUCUCCAUAAAGGUACAACGACCUCAUCAUGGCAGUAACCUCCGUUUCGUACAAAUUUCCGAGCUUUGCGACUUUUCUGUUCGAAAGAAGAGUAUGCAUGGAAAUCUUGCGAAGCUCCCGCCAGUAGGGCCCGUAGUCGCUGAAUCCAAACAUGGCGAAAUUGUAGCACAUGUGCUGAAUUGCAGCGGUUUGCGGGCGGUUGCAGAAGAUUAGGUCGUUUGUGGUGAAGCAUUCUUUUGCUAUUUCCCAGCUGCUCACUAUCAGGGCUCCGUGUACGCCUAACCGGAUAGUGAAAAUCGGGCCGUAUUUGUCUGCGAGAUUUGAUAGUACGAUGUGAGGGAGCUCGGGCCCUGAAAGCAAGGACAGGUGUCCGAUUAUAGGCCAACCACCUUCAGCUUCUGGGGGUAGUUUUUUCUUGAUUCUUCUUCCUCGUAUGGUUAUUACAAGGAAACAUAAACUAACGGUUAAAAUUAUCGAUAUAGUAACCAACGCAGGAAGCGAAAUAGUCGGUCCCAUUUCCAUGGCUUGAUAUAUAAACUAGUGCUUAUUAUAGAAUGAACUAGUGAUUGCCUCGAAAAGUUUGAUUAUUGUCCGGAAAACGAAACGAGUGAGUGAAACAAUUGGCCAAGAUCAAUGAUAUAUAAGGUUGAAGUAGAAAGUAACUGAAAAUGGACCAAGGUGUCUGAACAACUAAUAAUGCAAAUGCGGACAAAAAAGCAAUGGCGAUUUUUUCAACGGGACCCCACGUAUUGAUGUAACAACAAGACAUGGAAAUGAAGAAAAAUCAAAUAAGAAAGGUGAGGAGACAAUCGUGGGGGUAAGAACAACUUCAAGUGGAGUGGCUUUCAUAUUAGUCGCACUCAAACUCCCGGUCAUAUCAACGGCCUCACCAAACGGCACCGUUUCAAUAUCGAAACCAUUCAACAAACUAGCAAGGGAAUAUUCCGUCACCUGAAGCGCGGAAGAAAUCCCGGGGCAUACCCUCCGAUCCUGCCGCCGCCAAACGGAAGCAAUUCAAAGUGGUGUCCUCAAAUAUCGACCUCUUUAUAACGGCUCGUAAGAAACCUCUCCGGCUUGAAUUCCAGUGGAACCGAUGGAGCUUCCACACGUUGACGAUGAGCCGUGUGCCAGCUGGCACGUGGUAACCGACUCGCGUGGUGCGUAGAGUCGGAGGGUUUCUUUGAUUAUGGCUUUGAUGUAGACUAGGUUUUCGGUGUCGGUUACUUUCACUUGUCUUCCUCGGUCUAGUUCUUGGCGGGCCCUCGUCAUGACGUAAAGAUAGAUCCCACGUGAGGGUGACGGUCGUUGUAUUUGUUGCUCCUAAAACCAUUGUCUGCACAAGAUUAUAUUAUAUAUACAUACACAAUCUUUGUUAAAGAAGGUUUAAUGUAUUGUUACAUUUUUUCAAAUUUUAAUGAGAUAUUUGUAACUUGAUAUAUUAUUCAAAAAGAUUAUUGCAAUGAACUCACUGAUUAGUUUAAUAAAAUACUACAUUCAAACUAAAUAUCCAAAAUGGACCACACCACUAUUAAUUUCAACCAAACAACAUAUUCUAAUUAAUAUAAUUCAAAGCAGACAAAAAAAAUAUCAUUUUCAAUAGAUCUCAAUAAUUGCAUAUAUUCCAUUAAAUUAUUACUUCUCUCACAAAUUUUCAUCAAUUUAACAAAAUCCAAAAGAUAUACUAAACCAAACAUAUUCUAAGAAAAUUAUCUCAACAUCAUGGUAUCAGGAAAUCCAAACAAAAAUGAAACCAUAUAAACCUACAUUUAAAAAAAAAAAAACCAAAAUACCUGGCAAGUUGCUUUGUUAAUCGUAUCAGCAUCGUACGCAGGGAAAUCGUUAGCAAUCGUAUCGGCGUAAACCAGCAUCUCCCUCAUAAGUCCUUUAUUCUCUUCACAACUAAUACUUCCCUCGUGUUUCUUAUGGUGGUCUAGCCACUCUUGUAGUAUACCAUCCAUAUCUUUCGCCGUCUUUUAAACGCCCUGUAAUAAUUAGUUGCGCCAAAGUAACCGUCAAACCGUUUAAGAAACGGAAGCACAUCGGGUACUGUAACAACCCCCAUCAUUCUGAAAAACUCGUUUAUCGCCCCCCGCCACCUGUCACUACUCCCCGCCGCUCCGUCCAUCUUCUUCAUCUCCACAUCACCGGCAACUAUUCUCACAAUCAAACCGAGCGUCAGAUCCCCGAAAAAAUUCUUCAUAUCCAACGGCAACUUUUCUCCGUAAAGGUACAACGAUCAUCAUUGCACUCACCUCCGUUUCGUAUAGAUUUCCGAGCUUUGCAACUCGGUUGUUCGACAGAAGUGUAAGCAUGGAGAUUUUGCGAAGCUCGCGCCAGUAGGGCCCGUACGGGCUGAAACCGAACAUGGCGAAAUUGUAGCCCAUGUGCUGAAUUGCAGCGGUUUCUGGGCGGUUGCAAAAGAUUAGGUCGUUUGUGGUGAAGCAUUCUUUUGCUAUUUCGCAACUGCUCACUAUCAGUGCUCCGUGUACACCUAUUUGUCUGCGAGGUUUGAUAGUACGAUGUGAGGAAGCUCGGGCCCUGAAAGUAAAGACAGGUGUCCGAUUAUCGGCCAACCCCCUUCAGCUUCUGGGGUUAAGUUUUUCUUGAUUCUUGUUCCUCGUUUGGUUACUACUACAAGGUAAUAAAAACUGACGGUUAAAAGCGUUGGUAAAGUAACUAAUACAAGAAGCCAAAUAAUCGUGUCCAUUUCUGAUGAACUAAAUACGGUUGUAUCGAAUAUUGCUUAUUAUGGAAUGAACUAGUGACUAUCUCAAGCAACUUGAUUGUCAGAAAACGAAAUCAAUGAGUGAAACAACUAGCCAAGAUCAAUGCUAAUAAAUGAGUAGAUACGAAAACAAAAUUGUGGACACGGACAAGAGUUAAAAAUGGACCAACUUGUAUGAACAAUUAAUAACGCAAAUGUGGACAAAUUUAAACAAAUAUUUCUUUGAACGGGGACCCCACGUUGAUUUGCAACUUGUAUGACAAGACAAGGUGGGAAAGAAAAUGCAUGUAUAUGAUAACGAAGAUACGUUUAAUAAGAAAGAUACUUAACAAGCCUGAUCUCAAUCACCAACCUUCACUAUCGAAUCUGUGGAAAUAGAAAAGCUAAGGAUUUAAUAUCAACCAAAUAAUACCAAGGGGAGAACAUUCAAUAAAACUGUUUCUAGAAAUAUAUCUGGAAAAAAAUCACUUUCCUGACGUCAUUUUUAACCAACAAAAUGAAAUUUCCGACACACAGGAGCAAGGCUCGAGACAACGGUUGCAUACGCUGCCACGGAAACCUCUGUUAUAGUUCCAUUGCAAUGCCACUGCUGGAACAUAUAAUUUUGUAUACGUUUGCUAUCAUAUUUUCUUACAAAGAUAUUACUUUUCGUAAGUUUACAAUCACAUUUAUCUAGUUUAUUGUCAGAUUGUGUAUAUGCGCUCGCCUGUAAGAUACUACUAAAACUGAAAAUUAUAAUAAUUAUUAUUAUUAAACUAUAAAAAUACGAAAAAACACCAUAAAUAGUAAAAUAGUCAAAUUGCAAUCCUUCUAUAACUUGAAAAUUCUUAAAACAUUCCAAUUUACAGAAUUCAAAUAUCUUUAAAAAAUCACCAGAAAUAUAUAUUAAAAAUAAACACACGUUUUUUCCGUACCUCAACGACAUGCGCCACAUCAGCUAUAUCACUACCACGUCCAGACACAUCGGUUGCAACCAACACAUUAUACUUCCUAGCCUUAAAACCUUCGUGGCUCCCCUCUCGAGAUUCUUGUGACUUCCCACCAUGAAAUAUCGUCACUCGAUAAUCCUCUCUCCGCAAAACCUUAAAAAAAACUAUCAACAACAUAUUUUGUGUUGACAAAGACAAUAGCUGUCUUAUCAUUGCCAAGAUCAUCCAACAAUUUCUUCAAUCUAUACAUCUUAUCAUUCUCCCUAACCAUAGUAACACGUUGGGUAAUGAGUUCAGUUUGCCUUCCUGCAGUGCCGAUGUUUACGACAGCUGGACUUUUCAAGUACUUUUUCGCCAGCCGCUCAACAGAAGGCGGCAUCGUAGCACUGAACAUACAAGUGGUUCUGUAUAGCCCUUUUUUAAUUAAGCUCUUCAUCUUCAUCCUCUGAUUUCAUGUUGCUCGACGGAAUCGCGUCUUGUACACCAACAACUUGUUGUUCGAAACCCAAAUCAAUCAUGCGAUCAGCUUCAUCAAGAACGACACAACUACACUGAUUGAGAACUAAAUAGCGCCUCUCCAGCCUUUGUAAGAAAUGCUGAAAUACGCCCUGAAAAUUCUCCGGUCUCUCUCGGUCAUUUCGUCGAACACCUUGCGGGACCAGUGGCGAUCGACCCUCAUCUCAAAGGUAUCAUAAGAAUCAUAAGCAUGUUCCUCCUUCUUCUUCUUCUUCUUCUUCUCGAUUCCAUCCUUGUCAUUCUUCUGUUCACUCCGUGUGGGUUUCGGUAGAGGGAGUUGAUGGUCUUCGUGAGCUUUUGAGGCUCCUCUUUGGUGAGAAACGCCGGGAUUCUUCACUCCGUUCAUCACUUCGCCGGAGGACCGACUAGUCGGAAUUGUUGGGAAUUAGGGUUUGAAGCCCUGGCAAAACCAUAUAUUGUAUGUGGACUUGGUUCAGACUUCAGAGGCAAGGCAACGGCUCCAUUUUUUUUUUUCAAAUGCAUAUAUAAUAAUGAUAAAAACAAAAUAUUAUUUUAAUAAAGCAAGAAUUAUGCAUAAUAAAUAUUUUAAUUUCAAAAAACAAAAUUUACAGCAAUUGUUGAAUCUAUUUACUAAAAAAAAGAUAUUUUAAUAUUUUUGAGAAACUUAAUAAGUCAUUCAAGCUUCCCACAUUUCAAAACUAAACAACAUUACUUAAAGUUUCAAAUUGCAAAAAUUAGAUUUAAACUUUAGCCAAUCACAAUCGUCGUCUUUAUAUCGUUUUUUUCUUUCUUUCUUUCUUAGAUGUGAAUUUCCGUCCCGUAGUUUUCCAGCCGAUAAUGGUGCUUCUUAGAGCUGUAAUGUUCUUUCCGGCGUUUAAUUUAAUGGUAUAAUUGUCUGGGUUCCUGUAGUCGAGCUAUUUCUUUUGAUAGUGAUUUUGUAUGAUUUGGAGCUAUGGAUCUGAUUAUUUGGUCGUUUUACCGGGCAUGCAUGUGUAUUUCGAGGAUGGUGGUUCUUUUUGAAAGGUAACUUAUUUUCCGGCAGUCGGAAUUUGAGGGGUUAAAUACACAUCGUUGGAUUCCUCUUGUCGAAAUCUAUAUAUUUUUAUGUUAAUUAUGUCCAAUUUGAUAGUCAAAUUUGUUUCUAUGAUUUUUUUUAUUGCGCACGUUGAACCUUGUGUUUUUUGUUGUUGUGAUUCGUCACGUUCGCAACUAUGGCCUUUCUCUUCAUCUCUUGUCUCAAUUUUCAUUGAUUUUUGAGUUUUUUGAAGCUUCGUCAAUUUAUACACGAGCAUGUAUAAAUUUUUCAAGAACGUCAUAUUCUCCGAAUCGCAGGUUGCCUCCAUAUAUAACCAUGGUUAAGCUCUGCAAAUAAUUUCAUGAUUUUUUGCUGUUAAGAUCAUAAACAAAAUUGAAAAGAAUUCCCAAAAACACAGAUUUUCCUCACUAGCUUAAUUAGCAUAAUUAGACAUAAUCAUUAAUAAAUUAGUCUGUCAUUAAAAAAAAAAGGAUUAAUUAACAUCUAAGAAGGGAGGAAUUAGAGGGUUCAAUUUGCCAGCUUGGCCUUCCUAGGCUAAAUUCUAGAUCAAGCAACACAUCAGAAGAACCAGAAGACAAUCUACUCAAACUACUAUCUAACUUCUCCUUGUCUGAAAAUCGCAUUUUCUCGUCCGCCACCUCAGCUUCAUUUACCUACACGAAUCGCACCGAUCGAUUUUUUUUUGUUAAUUAUAUUAUACUAAUUAUUUAAUAAUCGAUAUAAUCGUUUGGUAAUUAAAACGUGCAUAUAUAUGUAUUAUACCGUGAUUAAAUCGAACCCUGCUCGGGAAUUAGUCGAAGUGGAAUUAUCUUGCUGGCAUGAAGGACUUGGUACAAGGUUGUCUGGAUAUGAUGAUGAUGAUGAUUUCCAUUGAGCCCUGCUUGUUCAUAAGAUUCAAAAUUUAAAAAUAAUAAUAAUAAUUCACAAGCAAUUAUUAUACAAGCUAAUAAAAUGCAAAAUUGUAAGAUUGUGAGUGACAAUCUAUAUAGUUUUAUUUUCUUUCUUGUUUACAAGAUUAUUAUAUUUAUUAUAUUAUAUCUUUUCAUAUAUCUAUUUGUAUAUUUUUAUUUAAUUUUUACAUUACAUCUGACUUUUUACUCUUGUUUAGAUUCUAGCAAUUCAGCCGUCCAGGAAUGAAGUCAACAAGUCCAGCAAAGCAUUUUUUCAAACAAUAUUUAUUAUGGGACAAUUAUUUUUGCCACCCUCGAGGUAACGUCAAAUUAAAAAAAAGACCCUCUUGUUUGGGUAAUUACAACUAUCCCUCACAACUAUGUAUUUUUUUACAAGAAACCCCUUGUUCACUGGUAAGUUUGACACCGUAAUAAUAGAUGUUUAAGACAAUACAUAGUUUACGGGUGAUUGUAAUUUCUCAAACAUAAGAGAUUCUUUUCGUAAUUUAAUCUUACGAACGAGGUAGUAGACGUAAUUUAUUCUUUAUUAUGUGACCCCUAAAAUUGCACCAAAUGUCACCCUAAGCUGGCAUUAUUACAACAUUAUAUUGAGAUUUGAACCUUCUCUUUGACUUUCUUCUUUCUUUUUUCUUGAGAUUCGUACUAUGAAACAUCUAAUUGAUGUGAGGUGUAAUUUUAUUUUAUUUUUGUUUCAAGAUUUUAUAGGUAAAAUACAAAUGACAUUAAACAAACAAACAAACAAAACCCUAUAUAUAUGGUAUCAAUGUUUUCAAAUUCCAUUAUUAUCCUCACACCAUUUAUUAAGUACACAAACACUUAUGCAAAGAAACUACAUUCUCUGAUCAAUUUAUAUAAUUAACCCAACUAAUUAUCUAUAUAACCUCAAUCAAUAAGAUAUAUAAACUACUAAAUUAAUAGUAUUAAUCAAAGUUUGAACUUAGAAGCAAUUAUGUUAUAAUGGCCUUACAACACCGAUAACGGUACUGAUACUGGUACCACUCAGCCGUAACAGUAUAAUAGUUAUACUAUUUGUCUUCUCGAUUAUCAUAGAAAUUUGUAAGAUUCGACAAAAUCUAGAAUCAAUGGAGUUUAUAUAUAAUCAUCAUGCCACUUUAUUUAUUUAAAAAAAUUAAAAAAUUAAAAAAAAAUCAUGAUGAUUGAUGGCAGUAUAUAAGAAGAUAUAGGCCACAAUAUAUGGUACCAUACAGAGAAAGAAAGAGAGGUCCCAGGCCAAUAUAUAGUGUAGGUGGAUAUAUUCUUUGGGAAAUGAUGGAAGAAUAUAUAUAUAUAGUGCAGUACUUAUAUACAAGAAUAUAUAGUGCACCUAUUAGGACAUAUAAAAACAGACAAAAAUUCCCGAAAAAUAAAAGACAAAAACAAAUAGAGAGAGAGAGAGAGAGAGAGAGAGAGUAUUAUUACACUCACCUUUGAUUAUUAUCAGCCUUUUCAUCAUCUUCUAUUUCUGGAGUAAUAUGCAGUUUCAGCCCAACAUCUAUCUCCCCUUGACCUGCAAUAUUAUUAUUAUUAUUAUUAUAAAUUGAUAUAAAAGUUAUUCCAUUCUAAGGAGUUCGACUGGACGAUAAUUUUUUGAUUAGCAGUUAAAUUUUUUGAGAAGAUAUGACUAAAAUAAUGAUAAAGUUAAGAUGAACCAAAAGCUUAUGGAGUUCAUAUUAACGAGUACGACUGGACAAGAAUUUGUUUCAAUAUAAUUAAAUAAAAUAUAGUAAAUUUCAACUAGGUGAAACUCUCUUUCAAGUUAGGAUUAUCAAAAAAUGCAAAGAUUGCUGGAAAAAAAAAAUUGAAAUAGAUAAAAAUUUCAUAGAUCGAAGAAGUCAAUAUCUAACUAAUCACAAUUGAUCCUAAGACAUUUCAUUCACAUUAAUGCAACACACGUAAAAAAAAAAUUCAACAAAUUCUUGUAACAAUGUAGAGUAAGUAAUAUAGUUAUGAUUAUUCAAAUUGUUGAAUUAUUUAUAACCAUUAUUAUUUGAGGUCCAAAAUUUUUUUCUUCUACAAAUCAGGGGCCCGAGGCGACCGUCUCUCGGUCCAUGAUGUUCAGUACGAUUUAUGCUUCUGAAUUUAUUUAUUUUGUCGCCCAAAAAAUCAUGAUUAAUGGAAGCACAAACAAAGAGAAUAAUAUGCAAUAAUAAUGGGACCUUUUAAUUUUUGGAGGGGGGGGGAAAGAAAAUCCAAAUUUAUUUACCUGUUCCUCUGUCAGUGCUCUUCACUGUUCUAUACAUUUGCAUGAAAGAAAAAAUAAAAUAAAAGAAAUGUAAAAUAAUAAACAAGAAUUCCACAUUGCAAAGAUUAUAACAUGUACUUUUUUGUAGAGAAGAAGAUGCCCUUUUGUCCUAACCCAUUUUGUACCCAAACUCCCACACUCAAAAACAAUAUAUACAUACAUAUAUAUGUAUGUAUAUAUGUAUAACCAUCAUUUCAGUUCCAUUGCAAUGUCGCAGUANNNNNNNNNNNNNNNNNNNNNNNNNNNNNNNNNNNNNNNNNNNNNNNNNNNNNNNNNNNNNNNNNNNNNNNNNNNNNNNNNNNNNNNNNNNNNNNNNNNNCUUCCAUCUCCCACCAUUCCUGCACACAAAAAAAAAUCACCCACAGGUCCCCGUGAUUUUUUUUUUUUGUUUUUCUUUGAGCAAUUGAACCAAAAAUAGAUACCAAAUGGAAUGGAGUUGAGCCUGAUAAUAUGAGAACAAAUGAGAGGAUUAGCCAUCGGCAAAGUAAUUCCGAUCCCUUCUUCCAUAUCCACACGACGAGUACAAACUCCGUCGGCUUUCCACUCGAAGCACUGAAUCAUUGCAGCUAAGGAAGCCACCGAUAUUCCAAAAAAAAAUUCAAAAUUAAAAACCCAAAAACCCAAUCCAUCCCUAAAACUCUCAAACACUAAUUUAAAAAAAUUCCAAAAUUCUUCGAAUGGGGCGAUUACGAGGGGUGGGUUCAUAAACGGGAUCCACAUUAAGAACAUGGGUUCCAGAAUCAUUAGCAAUGGAUGAAUCAAACGGGUUGUAUUUCAAAACGGAUUUUACGGCAAACGGGCGGUGGAAUUUUUUCCUGGGCCGCAGCAGCUUUGGCGGCGAAAAUGGAGGUCUUGCGGCGGGUUUUAGAGGAAAUGAACAUGGAUUAAAGCAUGGGUUGGUGGCGAUUGAAGCAGGACUGAUGAACUGCGUGUGUGUGUGUGUGAUGUGUGGGCGGAGAGAGAGAGGGGUGGUGGCAGGUGGCGAAGGGAAGAAGACACUAUUUUUCUUUUUUGGUUUUUUUUUUGUUUUGUUAUUUUUGUUUUGUUUUUUUUUUUUUUUUUUAUUUUUUUAAAGAUUAAUUUAUAUUUAAUAUACAACAUGUAAGUGAAUAGACGAAUUUACCCCUCAAAAUCUCACGUGCAAAGCACAUGUUUUGACAUUCCGGUCAAAAUUGCCGGAAAAUUGAGUUCAGGGGGCACCGUGCAACGAAUUAACGAGUUCAGGUAAAAACGUGCAAAAAAAUUUUGUUUGGGGGGUAAAGUGCAAAUCGGCCCAUAGUUUAGGGGGCAAACUGCUUUUUACUCUAUAUUAUAUAUAUAAUAUAUAUAUUGUGUAGGGAAAGGGUAAAAAGAGAAUAAGAAGAAGAAAUGUGUGUGUCAGAGAGGCGACACCCGCCCUCACAUGCACAUGCACUCUCUCUCUCUCUCUCUCUCUCACUAAUAAUAAAUGAUAGGGUAAAUUACAAACACCCCCUGAGGUAUGGUCAAAUUACAAAAACCCCCCUCUAAGUUUGGAUAAUUACAUCUAGCCCUCUCAACUAUGAUUUAUUCUUACCUUUAUGGUGCCAAAUUCAACAUAGUCCUCUAGAUUCCGUGAAAUGUGCUCUAGNNNNNNNNNNNNNNNNNNNNNNNNNNNNNNNNNNNNNNNNNNNNNNNNNNNNNNNNNNNNNNNNNNNNNNNNNNNNNNNNNNNNNNNNNNNNNNNNNNNNCUUUGUGUAAAAAAUACAGUUUUCGAAGCACCACAAACUGAUAUAUACAAGCUAAAAAUCACAUAUUAUGGUCAUCUUGCUUCAUAAUGUAGAGUUUGAAUUGAAUAAAACGGGUACAAAAGUGAUAAUAUUCCAUAUAAUCUCGAAGAUUCCACUAAAUUUUGAUGAGUUGAGGUGGUGGUUGUAAUUAUCCAAACAAGAGGGGUGUUUUUGUAAUUUGGUCAUACCUCAGGGGGGUGUUUGUAAUUUACCUUAAAUAAUAAUAAUAAAUUUUAUUUAUUUAUUUUGCCCUACUUUUAUUCUUACUAUUUUGCAAGUUGAUGAACAUAUCUCAAGGUACAAAUUUUUGUCUGUAAUUAUGUAUUUUUUUUUUUUUGUUUUUGAUGAUGGAAGAACAAAUAAUUGUUCUUUCCUAGAUAUAUAGAAUUUAUUUUGUGAUUUGUGGAGAAUUGUAAUUAAUAGUACUUGGAAAGACUAAAUAGCUUCAUUAUUGUAGAAAAUUCAAAAUAAUUUGUAUUAAGAGUAACAUAAUCAAGAUACGUUGAUCGAAUUUGGGAUUAAUUUAUCUGUGUGAAUACCUGAUUAGUAAAAAAGUUUGAACUCCGUUUUUUCUUUCAUUAGAUAAAAUCUAUUUCGAUCACAAUUUAUGUAUUUUGAUGUGGUUUAUUCCAUAUAAUUAAAAUAAAAGGAAUUGAUUCCAUCGUACAUUUAAUCUUUAGCAUGAUCAACAUUUUUAAGGUAUAUGAUCUCUUAUUGACUUAAUUGCUUUUCAGUAUUGAGUUAAUUAUCGACAAGCAAUAUCGUCUGACUUGAGCAUCGAAGUGUAAUCGUCUGUUAACACCCUCACGUGUAACAUAGUGUGUUAAGUGGUUUUUGCAGAAAAUUAAAGAAGAAUAUGCAUCGCACACUUACCCAAAACUCGUGGCAUUCGAACUCGUAUUCCUUUCAACUAUUCAUCUCAAGUGAUCCUGCAUCACGUUGUAUCCGUUCGUACGAGUUUUUUAUUUUUAUUUUUAUUUUUAUUUUACUUUGAACUUUAUAUAUGUAUUAUGUAUAUAUAAAGUGAUACCAACAAGCCUUGUCUAUUUUGUGUAUGUUUAAUUGGUUUAGGAUGAAAUAUUUUAAAAUAAAACAAUCGACAUCUAUGAUUAAAAAAAAAAAAAAAAACACUAAUCAAAGUGUUACGCAAGUGUGUGUGUGUGUGUGUGUGUGUGUGUGUGUGUGGAGUAGUUGCUUAUGCGUAAAUUAAUUUGAACAUAUUGCAUUUGUUUAUGCAAUAAUCUAUGCAAAAUAAUUAUGUUUUCUCUCAACACCAAUAUUCCCUCCCCGUGUCCAAAUAUGAAAUAUUCUUUGGCCUUGGCCUAAUCCACCCCCCGGCGCGUCGAGCCCCACCCCCAGCGCGUGGAAAACCGAACUUCAGAAAACCCCAACCACAUUCCUCGGCGUCAACAUGGCAACCCCUCACGUGACUUGUGGGCGUGACCCUGUCCACCUCAUCAUAUUAUUCUUUAUUGUUUUCUUCUCUUCUUCUUACCGUGAUCUUCAAUAUCUUUUUCCUCUAUUAAAAUAAAAUAAAAAUAAAAAAGAAUUGAAUAUUUUCUUUCUAUUCUUCCGAGUUUCAGUCUGCAGCUGGGUGUAUAUGAACCGCAUGAGCUGUACAUCACUCGUUUCGAUUUUUUUGAAAGGUUAUAAACAUGGGUCGUAAAUCGUAAAUCGAUUUAUCAAAAACUCAAAUCGUAAAUUUGUAAGAUUUUUGAUUCUUUCGAAGAUAAUAUGGUAAUAAGGAUAUAUAGAUGCUAUAAAGAAAUUAUAUAGUAUAAUAACAAAAUUCGAUAUUUUUUAGAAUUUAUGAAAUCAAAUUAUAGAAGUUGUGUCUUGAUCCUUUGGAAUUGAAAUUCAAUAGGUGUUUUAAGUUUUAACAAAAUUUUCAACACGAUAAAAUCAAAAGUUAUGACAUUUUUACAUCUAUUUCAGUUUUCAUAUUCUACUACAAAUUAAGAGUAGAAUCAAAAUAGUAUAUAUAUAUUGCAAUUUUCUUUUAAUACUUUGUUUUAAUAAUAUUUUAAGACGAGACACUAUUGAAAAGAACGUGUUAAUCAAAUUAACUAUUUAUAGUUAAAGUGCAAAUAUCUUUUUAAUUGAAUUUUAUCAUAAAAAAAUAUAGUAAACUUAAAUUUCUUUAAAUCGUAAAAGUUGCAAACCGUAAGAAUCGAACCGUAAAUCAUAUGAUUUAAUAGGUUUUUGGACAUUUGAUUAAUUAAUCAUAAACUCGAAUCGAAAGAUUUGAAUCGUAAAUUAUAAGAUUUUAAUAAUCAUGACUAUAAAAAUAUGAACGCAACGUCCUAGGGUUUCAAAAUUUAACAAAAUCAAAAUUACAAUAAUUGGAGUAGUAAUAAUGUAAUAAAAUCACCAAUGUAAUGUGGUGCAUCUAAUCUUAGCUAAUCCCAACUCAUAAUUAAUUAAAUUAAAUCAAAGUCGCAUUUCCCCAAAAAUCGCUAAUUGUUUAUACGAAUGGGAUCACAUAAACGAACAAGACGAGAAAUUCUGCUUAAUUGUUUUUUUAAAUCAUUAAUUAAUAUAUUUUAAUUAAUUAAUUAAAUAGUUUCCCGGUCAGCGCCUGAUGCGCUCUAGAUUCUCCGGGAAAUGAGUUAUUUCAACCUCAUCCCACUUGUUUAAAUAUUCCCUUAUUUUAAAGUUUAAAUAUUUAAUCACCCACCCGUUGGAUUAAUUAAUCCCAAUAAUCAAGAUUAACUUCUAACGUACACACACAAAAACACACACAUAUUACAUAUAUAUAUAUAUAGAUAUAUGUUUAUAUAUAUAUAUCCGGUCAACAUGUCUCACUCUACGGCUAGUUUUCGAAUGCUUAUAAGACACUAUAUUCCAUAUUCCUUGUGUUUGUCCUCUCCUCUCUAGUGUAUAUUAAUCUAUAUAUUGUCCCAACCUCUCUCUCUCUCUCUCUCUCUCUCUCAUGGGACGGGAUUAUUUAAUCCCAACCCUAAUAAUGUGCCGGGCCGGUGCGAAUCUAGCUAAGAACUUCAUAUGGACUGCAUAAAUUAAAUAAAAAACAAUACAAUUUACAUUUUUCCGAAAACCAAACAAGAAAAAAACUAAAUCCGAUUCCACUCCAAAACCAUCACCCUAAAAAAUGAGAGAUUAGUAUAUAUUUAGGGGAUUAUAUGUUACAUCUGGUUAUUUACACUGGGUGGAUUUCAACCGUAUAUCUGAUUAAAUAACUACCCAUUAAACACAUAUACACAUGAGUGUGUGUCAUUAUAUGUAAAUACACGAUUCAUAUCCAACCACUGUAAAUAACCAGGUGUAGCAUCUAAUUUCCCGUAUUUAUGGCUAGAAAUUAAGUCUAUAUCCAUGUUGAACGAUGUGGAAUAUAAUAAUGAGCNNNNNNNNNNNNNNNNNNNNNNNNNNNNNNNNNNNNNNNNNNNNNNNNNNNNNNNNNNNNNNNNNNNNNNNNNNNNNNNNNNNNNNNNNNNNNNNNNNNNNNNNNNNNNNNNNNNNNNNNNNNNNNNNNNNNNNNNNNNNNNNNNNNNNNNNNNNNNNNNNNNNNNNNNNNNNNNNNNNNNNNNNNNNNNNNNNNNNNNNNNNNNNNNNNNNNNNNNNNNNNNNNNNNNNNNNNNNNNNNNNNNNNNNNNNNNNNNNNNNNNNNNNNNNNNNNNNNNNNNNNNNNNNNNNNNNNNNNNNNNNNNNNNNNNNNNNNNNNNNNNNNNNNNNNNNNNNNNNNNNNNNNNNNNNNNNNNNNNNNNNNNNNNNNNNNNNNNNNNNNNNNNNNNNNNNNNNNNNNNNNNNNNNNNNNNNNNNNNNNNNNNNNNNNNNNNNNNNNNNNNNNNNNNNNNNNNNNNNNNNNNNNNNNNNNNNNNNNNNNNNNNNNNNNNNNNNNNNNNNNNNNNNNNNNNNNNNNNNNNNNNNNNNNNNNNNNNNNNNNNNNNNNNNNNNNNNNNNNNNNNNNNNNNNNNNNNNNNNNNNNNNNNNNNNNNNNNNNNNNNNNNNNNNNNNNNNNNNNNNNNNNNNNNNNNNNNNNNNNNNNNNNNNNNNNNNNNNNNNNNNNNNNNNNNNNNNNNNNNNNNNNNNNNNNNNNNNNNNNNNNNNNNNNNNNNNNNNNNNNNNNNNNNNNNNNNNNNNNNNNNNNNNNNNNNNNNNNNNNNNNNNNNNNNNNNNNNNNNNNNNNNNNNNNNNNNNNNNNNNNNNNNNNNNNNNNNCCGGGUCGUAAUAUAGUAAAAACACAAACAGGGUGUCGCGCGCUCUAUUGAUGUGCAUGAGUAUUAAUUUCUACCUAUAUAUCUGCAUGGAUGUAUAUAUAUAUAUAUAUAUAUAUAUAUAUAUAUAUAUAUAUAUAUAUAUAUAUAUAUAUAUAUAUAUAUAUAUAUAUAUAUAUAUAUUGCUUUAGGAAGUGGAAUAUGAUAUUCCAUUUUUCUAGAGAGACUACAGAAGAGAAGACAAAAGAGAAAUUAAGGAAGGAAUCAGCGGAAUGAUCGCCGUUUCGACUCACGUGAGAUACCACGUGUAUAUAUAUCUUACCUCAUUUUUUAUUAUUUAUUUAUUUAUUUUAUUUUAUUUUAUUUUAGCUGUUUAGGCAAAAUAAAAUAAUGUUUCCUAGUCUUUUAUUUUUCCCAUGCAAAAUUUCUUACCCCAAACAUACUACAGCGGUAUUUUAGGUAAUACACUGCUGCUUGCCUGCUUCUGUAGAUAUUCAUUGAUUUUUAUCUACAGGGGCAAAUGUGUUGAAGCUGGAUUUUAGUUAGGGUGGAAAUCGGAAUGAAAUUUUAAAAAUUUCGUCGUAAAAAGAGUUUCAAAUUUUUGAGGAUAUUAUAAUUUUUUAUUUCGAUUUUCGAUUUAAUUUCUUCAAUAUUUUAAUUAAGUUAGAUAUUGUAUAUUGAUUGGAAAUAAGGCUUAAUUGAAAAAAAAAAAUUAGACAUCUCACAUCAUAAACAGUGAAAUCACUAUAGAAAUGGAAGAAAAUCUCAUUAAUAACAGCUGUACAAAUUAAAUAUAUCACAUAUUAAUUGUUGUUGUCGUUUGUUUUUAUUUUUAAAUAACAAAAGAAAUAACAAAUUAUAUAUAUAGGUCUAUCGAGUAAAUUCCCAAGCUCGUGCAGUAGCUUGUAAACUAUACGAAAAAUUUAAUCCCGUAAAACAAUAUCUCAUAUCAUAUAUAUUUGAUUGAAUGGCCAAACAGAGGGUUCCUAUAUAAAAAUUAACUGGCGUUCACAAAUAUAUAUGUAAAAUUUAUAUACUUUACUAAAAUAAAAAAAAAUAAAAAAAAUUGAAUUCAAGAAUAAUAUACAUCAUACAUCACCACAUUCAAUUCACAUUAUUAAUUUAUGUGAAUUAGUUUCUAGCGACAAUCAGUAGCAAAUAGAAAAACGCGAUAUAUAUCGAAAAAAAGAUUAAAAAAAAUAAAAAAUAAAAAUCAAUGUAGUUUGUCCCAUAUUGAAAAUGUGUAUAAAUUAUUAUUACAGCUUCAACGUUGAAUGAAUUAGAUGAAAGAAUUUACGAAUCGCAGAAUGUACAGAGUCCUACAUGCAUAUGCUUUGGCAGAGCAUUUCUUACCUUACUGAUUGCACUGAAUGUAUAUAUAUAUAUAUAUAUAUAUAUAUAUAUAUAUAUAUAUAUAUGGCCACCCCCGACUUAUGGUCAAAUUAUGAAAACCUCCCUCCUGUUUUGGUGAUUACAGUCACCCCUCACUAUGUAUUAUCUUAUGAAAAUACCCCUCAAAAGGUAAAUUUAGGGAUGUUAAAUCGGUAAAACCGGACAGAAAUUUCGGUACGAUAACAUUCAAUACCGUUUUACGAACUGAAUAUACGAUUUGGUUAGGUAAAUAACCGAAUUACAUAAAUUUAUGUAAAACUUUAAAAAAAGGGGAUGGCUGUAAUUAUUAAAACAAAAAGUUUUUUUUCUUCAUAAUUUGGCCAUAACUCAUGAAUGACAAUAAUUUAUCCACAUGUAUAUAUAAUAUUAUAUAUAUGGAGUAGGAUAGUAUAGUAAUUUUUGCUGACACAAAAUAUUAAAACAAUGUUUAAGUAAUUAAUUUCCAGUAAUGGCUAUGCACGACAGGCGAAAUAGUAAAGUGUUGUUGGACCAAAAUGCCCCUAUCAACCACCUCUGAGGUAUGAUCAAAUUAUGAAAAACCCCCUCUUAUUUGAAUAAUUAUAUCUUCUCCUGAACUAUGAUUUUUUCUCACACCUCUAGUUGGAUGAGCGUCUUUUUGGUCGGGAGCCCUCGGUNNNNNNNNNNNNNNNNNNNNNNNNNNNNNNNNNNNNNNNNNNNNNNNNNNNNNNNNNNNNNNNNNNNNNNNNNNNNNNNNNNNNNNNNNNNNNNNNNNNNNNNNNNNNNNNNNNNNNNNNNNNNNNNNNNNNNNNNNNNNNNNNNNNNNNNNNNNNNNNNNNNNNNNNNNNNNNNNNNNNNNNNNNNNNNNNNNNNNNNNNNNNNNNNNNNNNNNNNNNNNNNNNNNNNNNNNNNNNNNNNNNNNNNNNNNNNNNNNNNNNNNNNNNNNNNNNNNNNNNNNNNNNNNNNNNNNNNNNNNNNNNNNNNNNNNNNNNNNNNNNNNNNNNNNNNNNNNNNNNNNNNNNNNNNNNNNNNNNNNNNNNNNNNNNNNNNNNNNNNNNNNNNNNNNNNNNNNNNNNNNNNNNNNNNNNNNNNNNNNNNNNNNNNNNNNNNNNNNNNNNNNNNNNNNNNNNNNNNNNNNNNNNNNNNNNNNNNNNNNNNNNNNNNNNNNNNNNNNNNNNNNNNNNNNNNNNNNNNNNNNNNNNNNNNNNNNNNNNNNNNNNNNNNNNNNNNNNNNNNNNNNNNNNNNNNNNNNAGAAGGGUUCCAUUUUCGUAACUAGCUGGCACCUGUAUCAUCUUGCUACAAAAUGUGAAAAUCGAAUGAGAUAAAACGGUGUACAAAAGUGAUAAUAUUCCAUAUAAUCUAGAAGAUUCCAAUAAAUUUAAAACCGCAAGAGUGGACGUGUAAGAAGAUUUUCGUAAUUUGACUAUAGCUCAGGGUGGUUGUAAUUUACCCUAGUUUCUUACAUAUAUAUAUAUUACAAUAAAUGAGUUUAUAUUACAUACAGUAUCUGCAAAAUUUCUAUCAGAUUACAACUUUUGACCACAGAAAUAAAAUUAGUGACGGUCCCUUUUCAUCAAACGACCUAAAUUUACUGUACAUGCAUAUCAUAAUAAAGGUGACAAGAUAUUGUAAAUACUAAUGAAAAUUAUCAUAAGUCAAUCUCAGAUUUUUGAAAUUACGUAUACUCUUAGUCUAUAUAUACACACGUGCUUGAGAAUGACUCUAUCCUCGUACAAACAACAUAACUAAGUAAUAUAAUUCAAGAAAAUGGCUUCCCAAAAGAUGAUUUUCUUGGCCCUCUUUUUGCUUAUUGGCCUUGGUUAGUGUCUCUCUUCUAUAUAAUAAUUAAUCAUCAAUUCUUGGAGUUAAAUUUUUUUUUUGAUUUUUUUUAAAAUUUUAUCUUUAUUAAAUAAUUAUGGCUAAAAUAAUUUAUCGAAUUAAAAAAUCGUACAACUCACGAGCUUCUUGAAAUGAAACCGACUACGCACGUUAGCAAUUUCGUUUUCAAUCGAGUUCGACAAAUAAUAUUUCUAUCUAUUUAUUAAAACCACGGUCAAAAUAAUAAUCGCGCCCCCGAUUUGUUUUAGGAGCUAUUUAUAUUUAUAAUAAUCCCCCCCUUUUUUUUUUGAAAUGGUUGACAGUGUCGGCUCAAAUUGAUGUGUACAAAUGCACGGUGGACGACGACUGCAAUAAGUAUCCAAUGAUUUGCUGGUUCGACGGCAAAACUGCGUCGGCCAAAUUUGGAUCGCCAGUUUGUUUUGAGGGAUUGUGUCACUGUAGAUCUUCGACGGUCUGCUUUAUGAACGAAAAUUGCGCCUACUUGAAAUGCGAUGAAGGUCAUUCGCCGUUUUGUUAUGAGCUAUCUUGUGUUUGCAAGACGGACACCCCGGCUCCUGCCCCGGCCGCCAACAUACACUAAAGGCGACGACAUUAUCGAAAACAAAUAAAAUAAUAAUAAUAAUGAAAUUAGUGCUAUUUUGUUUUUUUUUUAUACUAAUUAAUCGAGUUUGAAUAUAUAUCGAUGGUUCAUUAAUUUGAGUUUCCGGGGAUAUUUUAUGUUCUUGCUCCAAGUGCAUUGUGAAAUAUUGUUGAGUAGUCACUCGAAUCAAGAAUGGUUUAGUUCGAGUAUUGUGCAUCUAUAGUCGACAAGCCAAACUCCGGUUAGUAAGCCUGAGUCAUCUGCAUUAAGAGCGACGUCCUAGCCAAUUUAUUGUAAAAAACAAAUGUGAUUAAUUAUUAGACCUUGCAAAGUAAAAAGAAAAUAAUUAAUAGUCGACAAAUACGGCCCGAUCUUCGGUAUCCGAUUAGGUGUGCAUCGGGCCCUGAUAGUGAGCAGCGCGCUGGGAAAUAGCGAAAGAGUGCUUCACCGUACCACAAACAAUGUACCUAGUCCUCUGCAACAAGCCCGAAGCUGCGGCCAUGCAGAAAUAAUUAAAAAGAAUAAGAUCCCGAAAAUGAAAAUAAUAAUAUAAUAAUACUAAUAACGACUCGAUAAUGUGGUGAUCCUGCGUAGAAAAUUAUGAAAUAAAAUCCCGGACGUCAUCUAUAUAUGCUACAAGUUUGUUGUCCAUAUUUAUUCAUAAGCCGAGCCAAAAUCACUUAGGAGCUGAAAAAAGAGUGUUAUACGAUACAUUUAAGGUACUCUCUUGAUUUUGGUAUUUUUAUUAUAAAGAGGUGUUGAAGCAAACUUCCUUGGAUUUUGCGAUUGUGAUUGGGCAGGAUUUGUUGAUGAUACGAGAAGCACAUCGGGCUAUGCAUUUUCUCUUGGUUUUUUGGUAUAUUUUUGUGUGCGUCGAAGAAGCAACAAAUGGUGGCACAAUCGUUGGCCGAAGACAAAUACAUUUCGGCAUCAUUGGCAAAUGGUAACCGAUCAAGUAAUGUGUAUAAGGAGGAUUCCGGAAGAUAUUUGUUUGAAGUAAGACGAAGCUACUAGUCUCUUAUGCGAUGACAAAAAUAUGCUAUUGCGAUGAUGAAGAACCCCGUCUAUCAUAGUCGCACAAAUCACAUUGUAAUCAAGCAUCACUUUCAAGUUAAGUAUUAUUAGACCACGUAAUAUUAUCUCAUAAAAUGAUUUUUUUUUUUCUAUUGUCACCGUAGUUAUGUUAAUUGUUGUAUGCUAUAAUUUUACAAAAUGAAUUUAUUUAGGCAUGUAAUUUAAACCGUAAAUCUACAUAAAUAACUAUCCAUUAAACACACAUAUACAUGAGUGUGUAGGUGUCCAACUGCAUACACUUGAUUUAAGAAAAAAAUAUUUAUAUAUGUAUAUAAUAUAAUAUAAGAUUACAUGUACCAGGUUUGACACUUUCUUAAUUAUGUUUUUUUCUUAAAUAUACUUUUAUAUAUAUAUAUAUAUAUAUAUAUAUAUAUAUAUAUAUAUAUAUAUAUAUAUAUAUAUAUAUAUAUAUAUAUAUAUAUAUAUAUAUAUAUAUAUAUUUUCCUAACAUUUUCACCAAUUUUCUUUCUAAAUAUUUCCUAUAUUAUCCUAAAAUUUGCAAAUGAUUUUUUUAAAUUUGAAAGUUUUACAUAAUUUUAUUGUCUGAUGUAUAUACAAAUAAAAAAAAAAAAAAAAACUGCGGCACUGCCCCUGAACUCUCGUAAACUUUUAGUCCACCAAUUUUAUCAUGUAUUAUUUAUAUUUUUUUUUAUUAAACUCAAAUUUGAACACCCUUGACAAAAUCAUGGAUUCACCGUUGAGUAUGUGUAGAUUAAUAAGGUAAGACUACAUAAUGUAUUUCAUCAGGUGUAGGUUCUACAAAACCGACAAGUAGGUGCCAAAUGUCGAAAUAAAAUUAAUAAAAAUUUCAAAAUGAGAAACAAAUAAUAAUAAUCUAUUCAUAUAAUAUAUUGUCCGAUCUUUAAAGAAGGAAACAGGAAAAAAACUUCCCAUUUUUUCAUUUAAAUUAAUUCUCCAACAAUAUAUAGUUGGUGUAAUGAUUUGUAUACAAUUUGGAACAAUAUUAUGAGAACUAAAUUUAAUGUAUGUAUUUUAUAAUUGUAUAUUUGGAAGUUGGAACAAUAUUAUGAUAAUUAAAUUUAUUACUUUAUAUAUUUUAUAAUAAAAGUGACGUGAUCUUGUAAAUAUAAAAUAUGCUUUUAUGUAAAUCUCUGAAUUGAAAUUACAAUAUUACAAGACUCUAUCAACUAUAUAUACUUGCCUUACGACAACUCAAUACUCACUACAAACAACAUAAUUACCUGUCCUUGCAAUUACAAGCAAUAAUAAUUCAAGAAAAUGGCUUCCCAAAAGAUGAUUUUCUUGGUCACCUUCAUGCUUAUUGGCCUUGGUUAGUCUCUCUUUUUUUCUAUAUAAUUAAUUAAUUAUCAGGGAAAAUUGCACCUCGCCCCCUAUUAAUUUCUAAUUUUCGCACUUCACCCCCUAAAAAUUUGGAAUUGUGAAUGUCCCCCAUUAAAAUGUUAUUCUUGUUGCACAUUGUCUCGAUAGUAAAAUUUCGAUGGAUUAUUCACCGGAAUUGAGUUGUUGCACGUUACCCCUUUAAAUAUUAUUUUUGUUGUAUCUUAUCCCUUAAAAACAUCAUUUUUUUUUCAUGUUGGCACUUUAAAAUAUUAUUUUUGUUGCACAAUACGCAGCAUCAAUUGACUUUUGGGGUGCAAUCAAAAUAAUAUUUUAACGGGGUUGUCCAUUUUUUUUCAGGGAAAAAUGUGAAAAUGAAAAUUUAAUAGAGGAUGAACUGCAUUUUGUCCUAAUUAUUAAUUAUAACAAACACCUCUAUCUAUUUAUUAAUUAUAGUGAACUGUGAUUGGUCAAUUUGUUUUUCUCUUUUUUUUUUAGUAUAAGAAAAUUCAAAGAGGAAUUUUUACCUUUGUUGAGAUUCAAUAAAAUGAAAUUACUAUCAUUUUGUAAGAAAUUAACGUUUUGAAGAAAUUUGAAAAGGUGCUUUAUAUAAUGAUAAAUCUUGCUUUUUUGUUUUCUUUUUUUAAUUUAUCUAUUGAAUCUAAAAGUUUGAUUAAUAUUUGACAGCGGCGGCGGGUGAAAGCAAAUGCAGGGUCAACGACGACUGCAAAAAUGAACCUAUAUUUUGCCCCAACGCGGCCAAAAUUGGAUUAGAUGAGGGGCCAAUCUGUUACGAAGGAAGUUGCAUCUGCAAAUCUUUGAUUCCACAGUGCGACACCGAUGAAUUCUGCAAACGUGUGAACUUGAUUUGCACUAACGGCGAACCAAUCUGUGAUGACGGAGUUUGUGUUUGCAACCCAGCUGCUCCUGCUGCUGCUCCUGCUCCGAUCAACACACACUAAACAUGUAAACAUUAUAAUGUAAACAUUUAUUAAUGGCUAUAUAAAUAAUAAUAAUAAUAAUAAUAAUAAUAAUAAUAAUAAUAAUAAUAAUAAUAAUAAUAAUAAUAAUAAUAAUAAUAAUAAUAAUAAUAAUAAUAAUAAUAAUAAUAGCGAUAUUCGCUUUUGAGUUUUAAUUAGUUCGAUGCGUUUUUUUUUUCUACAACUGUUUGGCUAAGCUUUUAAACUAUUAAAAACAACUUAGUAUAUGUUUAAGAGUUUAUAAGUUCUUCUGAAAUGUUUGAUAAUUUAAAAAAAAAAAAAACAGUAAAAGUUAAAAAAAUAAACGGUUAGAGAACAAAUAAGAAUUUUUGUAAAGUACCUCCCUCCACCCAACAUUUUUAUAAUGAGUUAAAAAGAGCUUGUAAGUUGUGAUCAUCAUCCUAAAACACUUUAAAAAUUAAUUCUAAUAAUAAGACGUACAGUUUAUCAGCUCUUAAAACAACAUAUCUGACGUAAAAAAUUAUCAGCCAUUUAAAAUAAGCUCAGUCAAACUAAUUAAUCGAGUUUGAAUAUAUCGAUCGAUCAUUAAUUUCAGUUUUUUUUAAAAUAACCAAGACGAACACGUCAACUAGCUGACUCAUUGAUUACCCAUUUCAGAAUUAUGUUGUGCCAUAAAUAUAAUACAUUUUUAUUUUAUUUAUUGCAAUAUGUAUAUAUAGUUGCAUUACAAUACAAACAUGCAUGCUAGUUAUAGCAGCCUUAUUAAUUAAUCAGACACUAAUUAUUUAUUAUUAUCCCGAUUGAACUAAUUUAAAAACUAAUCGGGUACUUAGGCUGCCGGUUCGGGAAAAAUAACCCGAAAUUCUUCUCAAACUCGGGGCUCUUCUGAUUCUCAUCAAACAAACCGAAAAUGUACGUCUCGAUCGCCCGGCCGGGCCGUUUGGGCGUCCCGUCCCUCACGCGCCGCACCAAGUUCGUGUUGUACGUCCUCGCAAAGUCAACGGUGGUCGUGUCCCCACCCGCCGACGGCCAGCCGGUCUCCGACACCACGAUCUCCAGUGUCUCGGCGCCGCUCUUCUCCAGCGCCGCGUACAUGGCGUCCACGAUGGCGUAGAAGAGGUUCUGGUACCGUAUGCCGCCGGGGACCACGAUCCCGUCGGAAUUGAAAAGCGCGUACUGGAGGUCGAUCUGCGCUUUGUUCCCGAUGUAGGAGAAGUACGGGUACACGUUGACCAGCAGCGGCGCGCCGGUGCUGACCAGAAAGUCGGUGAUCGGCCGGAGAUAUGAGUUCACGUCGGAUCUGAAAGCACCGUCCGCCGGUGGGAAGGAGGUGCCCAGAACUCCGGUCUCGAUGGAGGUGGAGACCCGGAUCUGGUUUCCGAGGCCGGCGGAGCUGACGGCGGCGCGAAUAUUCCGGAGGGCCGGGAGGACGAAAUUCACGUACCGGGAAGUGUCGCCUCUCAGGGGGCUGACUUCGUUUCCGACGGCGAUGUACCGGAAUCUGACGUUGGGGUGGUUCCUGACGUUGUUUUGGAUCCACGUGUUGGCGUUUGAUUGGCUGGCGGCGAUGGACUGGAGAUCGGGGUUUGGUACGCCGAGGGUGAGUUCGAUGUUCGAUCCGGCGAGUGCUCGGAGAGUCGCCUGAUCGGGAUCGUAGAUUCUCAUUCGCCGGAUGUUGUUUUGGUUGCAUAGAGCCACUACUUCUGCCGGCGAUGGCAAAUUGUCGCCCAGCCUACCGUAGCAAACUCCCGUCUGAGCAUCUGCGUCGCAAUUAAUUAUUAUUAAUGAACGAAUAUUAGGGGUGGAAAUUGGAACAGAUAUUCUGAAUUCCUGAUUCCGGUUCGAAAAUUUGAAUUUUGGAACUAUAUUUUCCAUUCUGAAUUCCGGUUUUUUGAUUUUUUUUGGAACGUAAAUUGGAAUACAUACUGCAUUCCUUUCGAUAUUCGAUUUAAGUUUCUGAAAAUAUUUUCCGAAUAGUACACUUGUAAUAUCAAUAUUAGUCUAUGUCUUGAAUUGCACAUAGACUUAGAUUUUGAAAAUUCGUAAAUUCAACCGCAUCGUUCCAAAAAUUUCCUAUUUUCUUUUAAGAAACGGAAUUGGAAUUAGUUUUCCACUUCAGUAAAAAAAAAGUGACUUGUUUUUCGAAAUUGUUAAUUAGUCCAAUUUACGCACCUAAAUAAAAUGAAAUAAAUAAAAUAGAGUUUGGUGCAUAUUUGAUAUUUCUCUUUACAAUACAUAAAGUUUAGCCUAAUUGGUAUUAUUAUGCAAGUAAAAAAAAAAAAAAAAAAAAAAAGAUUUUAUUGCUGUUUACCAAAGUUAUUUGUUUAGUGUACCCAAUCACAUUCUAGAAGACGAAAUUGUAGUAAUUUAACACACAAGAUAUCAAGAUAUUGCAUAUUAUAUUAGUACAGAGUAAUUUAAUAUAUAUAUAUAUAUAUCUGUAAUUAAUUAGUGGAAAUAAAAAACAUAAUGCAAACCUGUGAAAUCCAGGGUGAUUACUAAUAUUACGAGCAGCGCCCACAGAAGGCGAAGCGUCGAGAUCGAGGAGAAGAACCGGUUUACGGUGCAAGACAUUGAGAAUUACGGAAAAUAGUAUGAUAAUUAUUUAAAUUGUGAGAUGAAUAAUUUGUGUACCAAAACCUCCCAUUUUAUAGAGGUUUUGUAGAGUGCAAAAUGUGUUGUAUAUUUUUUGUAAUUUAAUAAAAUGAUUAAUGGCUGCUAAUAUUUUCCUGCCAAACUAGCUAAGCUACUCUCUCUGUGGAAAAUAAGAACACAAACAAAUAAAUUGUAAGAACCCCACCCAAUUAAUAUUCCUACUAGAUAUAUAUCUAUAUAUGUUUUUAAUUUGGACGUAUACAUUGCUACAAAUUGAAAAGUCAUUGGUAAAAUUCUUGUUCCCUAAUGAAAGAUUUUUGCUAGUUGCAAGUAUUUCUUGAAAUAUUUUACGACACGUUGUAUAGAUAUUUGUUAUCUUUCGAGUAUUGUUGUAUAGUCGACCUCUUCUAAAAUUCUUAGUUUAUAUUAGGGUGGGCUAACGUUUUCGGAGGUUCAGAGGCAGCGCGCAUAACUUUUUUUUUUUUUUUUUUUAUAGAAGUUAUUAGCAAAAUAUAUCAUAAAAUAAGUAAAUUUUAUGCUCAAAAUGUAAUUAUUUGUAAAAAAAGACUAUGGGUAGGGGUGCAAGUUGGAAUGGAAUUUCCAAUUUCCGCCGAUUCCGAUCCGAAAAGUUCCGAUUUUGGAACAACUUUUUUCAUUCCAACUUCCGAAAUUCCGAUUUCCGAAUUUUUCCGAUUUUUUUGGAUUGGAAUUGGAAUUAUAUAAAAUAAAUUUGGAAUUUCCAAUUUCCGAUCCGAUUUCAUUCCGAAAUUAAUUCCGAAAAAUUCCGAUUUUUUUCCGAAAAAUACACCUAUAAAUUUUGUAUUAGGAUUUUGACAUAAUGAAUUGUUAUUAGAAGUUUUAUUGGAUAUUAUGAUGUGUUUAUUUUUAUUUAUUUUUUUGAACUGAAAUUUAGUAGUUAUUAGUUUUACUUUUAUCGACGUGGAUGUUCUUAUUUUUGAAAAAUUAUGACAAUUUUAGAAAAUUUCGGCUAAGUUUUGAAAUUUUAAAGCUUAUGUGAUUUUCGAUUUUUUUCCGAAAUUCCGAAAUUUCCGGGCCUUUUGGAAUCGGAAUGAAUUUUUAAAUUCCGAAAAUAUUGGUAUUGGAAUUAGAAUUGAUUUUGUACUUCCAGAUUUUUUGGAAAUUUUUCGAAAAGGCUUAUUCCGAUCCGAUCCGUCCGACUUUCACCCCUAACUUUGGGUCAACUAAAAAUGAAUUGCGCUAAGGGGGCUAAGAAAGGAUAACAAAUCCGACUCGGCUAGUAGUUGCGAGAUUAAUCUAGUUUUUGUCUAUAUGACUUUAAUUAAUUAUAGAUUACUCCCUGAAGUAUGACAGAUACCUUCUAAUCUAUGCUGCACGAACACGGAUACGUGGAGACGGUGAUACGCGGAUACGGACACGGUGAUACGGCAUUUCCAAAAAACUAGGAUACGGACACGUGGUGGAUACGGGUAAAUAUAAAACAUAUAGGGGUAUAUUUAUAAAUAAUAAAAAUAUAGGGGUACAUUUAUAAAUUGGAAAAAAUAUGUAUAAGUCCUCAUCGCAUAAGAGAACCGUUCGCCCUUGUUGCUCGUGUUCUUGGUCGCCGUUGCAUGCUAGACUUUUGGAAUUUUGGGUGGACUCACAAAGAAAACAGAAGAAAUAUGUAUUACAUCGAAAAAAAUGCGUAUUUUUUUUAUUAGGGCUCUCUCUUAAAACGUAAGAGAAGUGUUCUAACUUUUUUAAAAUUGUGGACACUGCCCGACACGGGUGUCCUACUGUUAGCGAGAUUACGAUACGGCCCGACACAGGUGUCCGAGAAGUGUCCAGGUGUGUCCGAGUGUCCAUGUAUCGAAUACGGUGACUCUUCACCUUCUAGAAGUGUCCGUGCAGCAUAACUUCUAAUGUAUCAUUUGUAAUAGAUACCCCCUCUAUCCACCAACUGUGAUGUUACCGGUUGAAAAUGCUGACAUGGCGGUGCGUAACUGCUGAAUAAUAUAGCCGUUGGGACUGUGGACGAAAAUACCCCUUGAUUAAUUAAUCAUAUUAUCUAUAUAUAUGUACUAGUGAAAAUAAACAUUUCUUAAAUAUCAAUGUCACAGAAAUUGUGUAUAAGACUGUAUACGAUAUGCCUAAUAUAUGUUGUGAAGUACAAAUAGAAGUGACAUUUUUUUUGCGAAUAAAUAGUAUUUGUGAUGAUUUAGACUUGAAAUAGUCGAUUAUGUAAUACGUGGGGCCCGGUUUCAUGAUAAGUUUCUUGGUGUCGUUUAUCGGAUGUAGCAUAUAUAUAUAUAUUUACUUCAUAAAUCGAUCAAGUUUAUAUACGUAUAUAAAUGUGUAUACAGUGAAAUAUUAUGUGCUAACCCUAAUUGAUGUCAAUUUGUAAGUGUGGAGAUAAGUAAUCAUGUAAUGCCAGAGGAGGACGACGACUAGCAAUGCGAUCGUCGGCCAAGACUAUGGAAAAAUAGCACAGGCCGGCAUGGAAGAAGACUUUGUUAAAGACUUGAUUUUCUAAGUCUUCCCUAAAAUUGAUUGCGAGUCUUGUGACGAUAACGAAACAACGUGGCGGAGCCAUAUAUAAUUUAUUUUUUUGGGACCAUAUAUACAUUAAAGUAUAUUCGUUUACUAAUAGUGAAUUUUUAUGGUUAAAUACAAUUUGCACCCUCAUACUGUAUUGAUUAUUGCAUUUACCUUCCUAUAUCUCUGAAAAAUGCAAAACAAACACCUUGUUUUUAAUUAAAAUAUCAAACAAAUUGUAGAAUUGAAAGAAUUAAAUAAUUAUUUUACCCUUUUUAAGAUGUUGAGAUACCAUUUUACCCUUUUAAGUUGUGUAGUUACCAUUUUAUCCUUACUUUAUUCGUUAUUAACUGCCGUAGUCUUGCUCCAUCAACAAGAAAGCAGGCAAUCACUACAAGAAGAAAUGGCAUUAGUGACAUCCCACGAUCCCAAUUGUGCCAACACAAAAAAAAAAAAAUCUCACUAAAUGGCAUUAAGUGACAACAUUUUUUUGUUGUUGAACUAAUAGUUUUUUUUAUUGUCACUUAAUUAUCCUAUUUCGUUGUCACUAUACAUUAGUGACAAAUAUAGUGACAAUAUUAUUUUACCUAAUCAUAUGAAAAUUGGUGUUGUACGUUAAUGAAUUGAUUUUUUUUAUUUCUUUUAGUGAAUGGAAUUAUCAUAAUUUGAGAGGCUAUGUCAAAUGGUAAUGUCAAAAUAUGUGUUUUAACUUUUAAUUCAAUAUAAAGGGGCCUAUGAUUCAUCUUUAAUAUGAUAAAAAAAAUAAGGGUAAAUUACAACAGCAGUCCCUAAGGUAAGGUUUAUUUACGGAAAAACGCCUCAUUUUUCCAUAAUUACAUCCACCCCUCAUCAUUUGUAGCCAAUUCCAACUUUGGAUCAUUAGUUCAAUCCGAUUUAAUAAAUGUUAAUUUUAUCUAAAACAAACAAAUGAGUAGAAUAUAAGAGAACCAUAUAUAUAUGUAUAUAACAGCCAUAUUUAUUAUUCAUGUCCUUAUUUCAAUGGAGAUAGAUAUACAUACAACCGUUACUAUAUUGUAAUAAAACCAAUUAAAAUUUAAUCGGGUACUUAAGCUCUUUGUUCGGGUGAAAAAUCCCCCAAUUCUUCUCAUACUCGGGGCUCUUCUGAUUCUCAUCGAACAUCGCGAAAAUAUACGUCUCGAUCGCCUUCCCGGGCCUUUUCGGCGUCCCGCUCUGCACGCGCUGCAGCAAAUUCGUAUUGUAAACCCUAGCAUUAUCAACGCUCGUCGAGUCGCCGCCCGCUGAGGGCCAGCCGGUCUCGGAAACCACCACCUCCACGGACGAGCCACCGCUCUUCUCCAGUGCGGCGUACAUCGCGUCCACCAUAGCGUAGAAGAGAUUCUGAUACGUCACGCCACCGGGCAUUGGCACGCCGCUCGACGACGUGAAGAGCGCGUAGCUUAUGUCGAUCUGCGCCUUGUUCCCGACGUAGGCGAAGUAAGGGUACACGUUGGCGAGCAGCGGGGCGCCCGUCUUGGCCAGGAACCCGACGACGGGGUUUAUGUAGGACGCCACGUCGGAUCGGAAGGCGCCCGCGUCGGGCGGGUACGAGGUCCCGAGCAGCCCCAUGUCGACGGCGGUGGAAACCCUAAUUCCGAGCCCGGCCGAGGAAAUCGAGUUGUGUAUGUUCUGCAUGGCGGGGAGUACGUACUGCACGUACUGGGACGACUCGCCUCUCAGCGGGCUGAUUUCGUUUCCGACGGCAAUGUACUUGAAUUUGACGCCCGGGUAGCUUUUGAUGUUGGUUUGGACCCACGUGUCGGCGUUCGAUUGGCUGGCGGCGAUGCUCGGGAGAUCCUCGUUUGCGACGCCGACGGUGAGCUCGAUGUUGGAUCCGCCUAGGGCUUGGAGAGCCGCUGGAUCAGGGUUGUAGAUUCUCAUCCGUUGGAUGUUGUUCUGUUUGAAUAGACCGACCACGUCGGAUUCUGGCGGUAGGUCGUUUCCCAGCCUUCCGUAGCAAACUCCAGUUUGAGCAGCUGCAUUUAUAAUCAAUAAUUAUUAAAUAAAAAAGCUAAUAAUAGUUAAAAAAAAUUAAUAAAAAUAAGGGCAAAUUACGGACAGUUAGUUAUGGUCAAAUUAUGAAAAAUUCCAUUUUGUUUUGGUAAUUACAGCCACCUCCUCAACUAUGUAUUAUCUUACGAAAAAACCCCUCUAGAGGUAAAUUUAGGGAUGUUAAAUUGGUAAAAGCGAACCGAAAUUUCAGUAAUUCAACAUUUCAUAUCAUUUACCAAGUUGAAUAUACGAUUUGCUUCGGUAAAUAACCGAAUUACAAAAAUUUUAUGUAAAAAUAUUUAAAAGGAGGGGUGGUUGUAAUUACCCAAACAAGAGGGGUUUUUCAUAAUUUGGGCAUUCCUCAGGGGGUUAAUCGUAAUUUUCCCUAAACAUAAUAAUAGUUGAGGAGAAAAACAGGCAAGAAAUUAAAAAGAAAAACGGAAAACAAAAUGUGUCUUGAUUUUAUAUAUAUAUACACAUGGGAAUUUAGAGUUUAUUGCAUUUAGUACCCCUAUGUUAUAACGAACUGCUAUAAAACCCUCUUAUAGACGGAGAUUUUAGGAAAUAAAAUAAAAUAAUAUGAGAAUUUUUUUUAACAAUUAAAAAAUACAGGAGUGCUGAAUGCAAUAAAUCCGGGAAUUUUAAGACAUAAUUAACGACAAUAAUACAGUCUGAAUUAAAAGAGUUGAAGAAUAAUUAAUUAAUAUAUAUUUCUCUGCAAUAUAUGGGAGAAAAAUUAAAUAAAAUAUAUAUAAACCUGUGAAAUCCAGGGUGGCAAUUAAGAGCAAAGCCAGAAUAGCAAUUGAAGAACUGAACUGGCUUAAGGUGCCAGCCAUGGUGAAAUUAAUUAAGAAAAAUAAUAUAAAUUAGAGUUGUGUACUUGUUUUCCAAAUAAACUUCUUAUUUUAUAGAGGUUUUGGAGAUUACAUAUUACAUAUAAUUUAUAAAAAAAAAUGUGAUUUAAUUUAUUAAUUAUCAUACUGUCCAAAUUAGUUUGUGUGGAGAUUAUUAUUUAUUACAAUUAGGUAGCUAAAGCAUAAUUACUUUUUUUUCUAAUGAAAGAUUAAUGCAAUAUUUGUGUAUUAUGACAAUAUGCAAUAACCCUAUUGAGAAAAUCUGAAUGGUAGUAAAGCAAAUUAGUAAGCUUAAUUGCAUCACUGUGACAUGUACAGUUGUUUAGUUACUAUAAUAAAACAUAACAAUAAUAUAAUUUAAAUAAAAACUAAAAAGAAUUGUUUCAUGGGAUUAUUUGACUAAUUUUAAUAAAUCACAAGAAUUUACUUUUUGGAUUUGAUUUUUCUUUUUUCCAAUGAAUGAUUAUGAAAAUUGAAAACCUCAAUCUCUAAACACAUCUUAUUUUAACAAAAAAAUACAUUAUCAAUAUUAUAUGUAAAUAUAUUUUUUAAAUGAUUUAAUUAUCAAUAUAUUAUAAAGUGGAAGUUAUAUUGUAGUUUUGGUCCUCUAUGUUGGCCUAUUUAGGGAUUUAGUGCCCAAACUUGUCAUGUUACAAUUUGCAUACAAUAACUUUGCGAACAUACUAUUUUUGGCCCUAUAAUUUUGCAUCAAUUUAAUUUUUUUAUUUUAUGAUGCAGGAACAACAAGCUUAACAUAUUUCACUUAUAUGGACGCUAAAAAUUAUACAUUCGACCUCUAACUUAGCCUUUAUAUAACUUUGAUUAUGCAAGAGGGCGUAUUUAUAAACCAAGUUAGAUGAAUUUUGUAAUUUUAAACGUCCGUAUAAAUAAAUUUCGGCGAGUUCGUAAUUAAACAACACUAAAAUUCAAUUUUUAGUGGAAUGGGACCAAAAAUGCUAAUUUAGCCAGUUAUUGUAUGUAAUUUGGCCUAGUUAAAGGACUAAAUCUCUAAGGAAGGCCAACAUGUUGGACUAAAAUUACAAUUUCCCCAAAUAAAAAUAUGUAUGACGUAUUGAAAGGUUUUUUAAAUUUUAGGCAUGUCUCUAAUACUCGUAUAUCAAUAUACGAAGUUCAACCGAAAAGACGGAUAUAAACAAAAAACUAUAGGUCGUGAUAGACUAAAGCGUUUUUCUACAUGCGUAUAAUGUUUUGACGACGGUAAUUAAACGAUCCAGGUGAUGUAUUGUCAGCUGCGUUGUUAAACUUUAAUUUGAAUUUCGAAAAUUCCAAUGUCCGAAUUUUUAGACUUUUUGGAUCGAAACAAGAAUUUUUAUUUUUAUUUUCCAAUUUUCGAUCCGAUUUAGUUUCUCAAAAUUGAAAAUUCUGAUUUUGUUUUCGUAAAUUACCUUUAUAAUAUAAUAUUAUUAUAAAUUCUAAAUUAUAGAUGAAUAAAAAAUAGGGUUGAAUACAAAAACCCCUGUACUAUGGACUUUGUAUCAUUUACCCCCUUGUACUACACAUAAAUACAAAAACCCCCCUCACAUUGCAUUUUUCCAGAAUAUGACGAAAAUACCCCUAAUAUAUAUAUAUAUAUAUAUAUAUAUAUAUAUAUAUAUAUAUAUAUAUAUAUAUAUAUAUAUAUAUAUCUAUAUAUAUAUAUAUAUAUAUAUAUAUAUAUAUACUAUAUAUAUAUAUGUAGAUAUAUAUAUAUAUAUAUUUAUAUAUAAAUAUAUAUAUAUAUAUGUAUAGAUAUAUAUUUGUGUAUAUACUCUACUCUGCAAGAGAGGUAUGUACAUGAGAUAGAUCUAUGGAAAAAUAUACGAAGUAUAGGUGCGGAUCGGUAGAGAUAGAACGUGCGAGCGUCGGACGACUNNNNNNNNNNNNNNNNNNNNNNNNNNNNNNNNNNNNNNNNNNNNNNNNNNNNNNNNNNNNNNNNNNNNNNNNNNNNNNNNNNNNNNNNNNNNNNNNNNNNUAUAUAUUUUUACCAUUUUCAGUCAAUUUUACGUUGAAAAUUUUGGUAUUUAUACUUUUUUCUCCAAAACAUCUAAUUGCUUACAUUUUUUAUUUUCUAAAUAAAAUCUUUUAUUUUUGUCAUUUUGAGUUUCUUCAUUUUUUUUUCUUAUAUGUCUUCCGGUAGUUCAAACAUUCUAAGAUUACAAACAUCUUUACAAUCCUAUCAUGGUUGAGAAUUUGAACUACCGAAAGACAUUUAAGAAAAAAAUUAAGAAAUUCAAAAUGACAAAAAUAAAAAGUUUUUCUUCAGAAAAAAAAAAUAAAAAAAAUCUAAGUAAUUAAAUGUUUUGAAGGAAAAUAAAAAAAAUAAAAAUUUCCCAAGUAAAGUUGACCGAAAAUGUUAAAAAAUAUAGUGGAAAAUGGCUCAAACAAACCCUUAUAUUUAUAGGUUUAGCAGGGGUAUUUUCGUCAUAUUUUGGAAAAAAUAUAAUAACAGGGUUUUUUUUGUAUUUAUGUGUAGUACAUGGGGUAAAUGAUACAAAGUCCAUAGUACAUGGGUGUUUUUGUAUUUAACCCUAAAGAAUAGAACGUCCGAAUUGCACCUAUUAAAAAUUGAUCAGAAUAAUUCUAAUUUUAUAACAAGUUUUUUCCAUUCUAAUUACAUUUAGUUUUUAUGUUGUUGUAAUUAGGAACUUCUAGCUAAUUAUUACCCCUAUAAUAAAAUUUUAAAUUGACUAAGGAAAUUCAAAUUAAACCAUUAUAUAGAGAUAUGAAAUCUCUUGAAAACGCAAGUGAAGAUUUUAUAAUAUUCGUGCUAAAUAGGUCACAUGUUAUAAAUUAUAAUACCUUUAAAUGAGUACCCCUGUCACAAUUCCGUGUUUAACAUGUGACAUAUUCUCUAUAAAAAUCUGAAGAUAUUAUUGUAAAAAAAUUAACUUGAAUUUUUAUUUUUAAUAUUUAAUUAAACCUUUUCUUACUAAAGAAAAAAUUCAAAUACUUUGUAAUAACUUGCAAAUCACAUGAAAUAUGUAAACCAUAGUAUUAAUUAGUAGGAAUCACAAAACAUCAGUGACGAUCUUGACCUAAAAACUGUUGACCAAAAAAUUCAAACACGGGUUAUUGUUAUAAUAUUUGGUGCACAAAAUAAUAAAAGAUUUAAGAAAUACUAAUCUUGAAAACAAGAAAGAUUUCAAAACUCAAUGAAUAGAAUUUAUAUACAUUAUUGGAAGAUUACACAAUAUAAUAUCUAAUUAAUACCAAAGAUUACAAUAAUCAAUGACAUUUCACAUUUCACAAAUGGCUAUAAAUAUCUCAAAACAACCAUUUCUUUUUUCACAAGAAAAAAAAUAAAAUAAAAAACAAUGGCGGCAAGUUUCACUCCUUAUCCCCCUUGUUCGACUUUUCUAUGCAGCGAUCGCGAAUGUUGCGGUACUAAACAAAAGUACGAUACUGUAUGGUCGAAUCUAGUUGGUAUGGUUGCAGAAGAAGCUAAGGCAAUUAUUACGAAAGAUAACCCUCUUGUUACUGUUGUUCUUGUGCAUAUAGACGAGGCUACAAUCGACAAUUUUUGUUGCAACCGUGUUUGGCUUUUUGUCGAUGAAAACAAUCGUGUUCGUAAGGUGCCUAUGGUUGGGUAGAAGAACACCAACUAAAAAUAAGAUCUAUAAAUAAAUAAACAAGGCCUGAAAUUUUUUGCUGUUUUUAUAUAUACAAAAACUUUGUCUACAGUGCGUUUUUUGCUGUUAUUUUUCUUUGCUUUUGUGUAAACUGUCUAAUUUGUUUAUAAUCACGCUAGCUAGUAGUUAUUGGGUACAAUUAAUCCUAAAAUUUUAGAUAAGAUCUUUGUUAGUAUAUCGAAAUAAUACAUGGGUCUUUUUGUAAUUUGAUAAAAAAAAAAUCUCAAAUGCAGUCGUAAGUCAACAUAUGACCGUUAGUUAUUGAUGAUUAAAUAGACGGAGGGACUUAUUGUGUUAAAAUGUGGCAACAUGAUAGCGUACUUUGCUCAUGUGGCAAGUGAGGUUCAAAAGUGAAAAACGUGCAAACUUGGAGGACCAAAAGUAUAAUUAUCCCGAUAAAAAAACCCGUCAAAUUUGCAAAUACUAGGCGAAGUUUUUUGAAAUAUGACAACUUGGAGGACAUAAUCUUUAGAUAACCAUGCUAAUAUUGCAAAUAAGAAAAAAUAGAAACAAACUAAAACUAAAAAAACAUCUAUGGUAGAAAUUUUUGUAAUCAAAGCUUGAUGGAUUUUAAAAAUAAUUCAACUUCAUUUCCAUCUACCCUGAAAUUAGGCUAAUAAUGAAAGAUACCCCUACCUAUCCGUAAUAACCAAAAUUCCACUCUAAUGAAAUGUUGAUCGAGUUUUUUUAAAUCCGUGAAAAGUCACAUUGUAAGGGGUUGAUGUAAGACCAAAACAAAACUCAGGAGUUGUGGUAACUACGAAUAGGUGGGGGCAUUUUUUGUUAUUAACAAAAAAUGGAGGAAUUAAAGGGAUUAGAGAUUUUUAUUUUGAAAAUACAAAAAUAACCCUCCAAGUUGCUUGUGCAACCCACAUGGGUCUAAUUCCGGCUGAUCCGAGCUAUUUGGCCUAGGUCCGAGAGGACCACCAACUAUCCAUCUUUUUCUCUCCAGUCGAAGCCCACCAACCACAUGUUUUAGGACCCGACAAAAUGGGCGCUCUCUCUCUAGGUCAGGAGCCUCUCUCUCGAUAAAAAAGGGGAGAAGACAGAGGCAAGAGGAAAAAGAAGAGAGAAGAGCAGAGGGAGAUAGGGAAAAAAAACACCAAACACACACCAAGAGACAAUUCAAAUCUACGGUGGCCAACGAACCCAUCACCGGCCAAUUUCGUCUGAAAAUUCCAAAAAAAAAAAGGUUAAGUGGCACAACUUAUUGAGUUCAGGUUGAUUCGGAGGUUUUUGUUUUGUUUUUUUUUUGUUGAGAUGGUAAUCCACAAAAACGGGUAAAGUUUAGGUGGUUUAAUGCUAUUUACCAGGACAAAGGAUAAUUACACUUUUGGUCCCUCAUGUUUGGGCCGAUUCCACUUUUAGUCCCCCUUGUUUCAAAGUGAACAAAGUUCACCUCCAUGUUUCUAUUUUAUACACUUUUCAAUAGACAUGGCCACGGGGCGGGUCGGGUCCGGGUCCGAGUCCGACUUUUAGGGGACCCGAAACCGCCCGCGGGGAGCCGGGUCCGGGUCCGGGUCCGGGGCAGGUCCAUCCGGGUCCGGGUCCAACCCGGUUUUUCAAUUUUUUUUUUUUAACAAAAAAAACUUAUAUUGAAACUUGAAAAAACAUGAGAUUAACUUUAAAUUCAAAAAAAAUAAAAAAAUAAUUGAAUUUAAACAUUAAACAAUUUUAGGAAAAAAUGAAACGAUUAAGACCUUGAGACAUAAACUAAAUAAAAUGAAAGUCCAGAAAAUUGGAUUAUGGGUAUUUAUAAGUGAAAAUAAUAAUUGAGAAAUCUUUCAAAUUUUCAAAAUUCAAAAAAAAUAAAUAUUCAAUCUUUCUUUUAAAUUAAAUCGUAUUUUUUUAUAUUUUUCAAAAUUAAAUAUAUAUGCAUUUGUUAUUAGUUGGGAUAUUUGAUAUUAAUAAUAGUCAACAUGAUAAUUAAUAAUUUAUAAAACAUUAGUUAUACAAUUAUUAUAAUCAUUUGAUAGUGUUAUUUAUAUUUUUAUGUUUAUAAUUAGGAUUAUUAUAAUAAGGAAAAUAUAUAACAUAAACAAAAGGUGUAAAAUGAUCAUAAUAAAUAAUGUUAAAUAGAUUAUUAAUUAUCAUAUUUAUUAUUAUUAAAUAAUUUAAUUAAAUUAUUAACAAAUAUAAUAUAAUAAAAAAAGUAAAAAAAAGGAAUGGAUUUGAGCUUAAUCCAUUUAAAUCUUACGAUUCGAUUCUAAUAUUUGAAUAAAAUGUAUAUGUAAAAAAAAAGAUUAAAUCAUAUGAUCUACGAUUUAAUUCUUACGAUUUUUACAAACUAAACCAAUUAUUAAAAGAGAAAUCAGAUCAUAAUAUUUUGAUUAUACUCGUCAUAUAUAGUUUUAUUUUUAAAGUAAGAAAUUAAUUAGAAUGAGAUAUAAUCUAUUUUUUUUAAAAUAAUAUUUUGAUUAUACUCGUCAUAAAAUAAUCUAUAUUUUUAAAUAAUUUAAUUAUGAUAAAAUAAUCAAUAAUUUUAAUAAGUUCUUGUCAACAAUUGAGGUUAAUCGAUUUAAAUUAAUUGAAAUGAGUUACAAUUAUUUUUUUAAAUAAACAUCUUAUUUUAUUUUUCAUUCGAAUUUUUCACACUAUCGAUUUUAAUAACAUAAGUGAGUUUGUAUUAAAUCAACGCGCUUGUUUAUAUAUUGAAUUGAUUCAAUAUUUUAUAUUUUUCAAUAGUGGAGAUUAUAUUGAUAUAAUAAUUAAAAGUAGAUGUUUUGAAGUAUUGACUCGUGAUUCUAUAUAUAUUUUUUUAAUUUUUAUAUUACAUUUGUUAAUAAUUUAAUUAAAAUUAUUUAAUAACAAUUAAUAAUUUAUUUAACAUAUUUAUCAUUUUACACCGGUGUUUUAUAUUAUAUAUAUGUAUUGUCUACAUUUAUACAAAAAUGUUGAUUGGCCCAGUGAUAAGAAUUGCUUAUUCUUCCCCAUCUUCACGAGUUUCGAACCCCCUAAUGUUCAUUUUUUGUACAAAAAAAACCGGGUUAACACCCGGGUCCCGGGUCGGGUCCUCGGGCCGGGUCCCACGGGUAGACCCGUCGGGUGAUAUUUGGGACCCGUGCUUGGUCGGGUCUAGGUCCAUGGUCAACGGGGCGGUCUUCGGGUCAGUUCCAGGACGGGUCCGGGUCAAACCCGGCCCGUGGCCGUGUCUACUUUUCGUCCACUCCGUCACACGGGCGUUAGAAACUAACAGAAAACAUUAUUUCAGGGGUAAUAAUGAAAUUUAAUAUUGUUUUGGGGCUACAAAACAAUUAUAAAUUUAAAGUACUAUUUGUAAUUAAUUUUUUUUUUUAUAUUAAGUAUAAAAAAAGAUGAAUAAUAUUUACUUUUGACAAACAAAAUGCAAAUAUAUAUAUAUAUAUAUAUAUAUAUAUAUAUAUAUAUAUAUAUAUAUAUAUAUAUAUAUAUAUAUAUAUAUAGUGUUUUCUGUUAGUUUCUAACGUCCAUGUGACAGAGUAGACGAAAAGUGUAUAAAAUGGAAACAUGGUGAUGAACUUUAUUCACUUUGGAACAAGGGGAUCGAAAGUGGAAUCCGCCCAAACAUGAGGGACCAGAAAUGUAAUUAUCCCCUAUUUACCCUAGAUUUAAUCAAGUCUUAAUUAGGUAAUUUGAUUAGAUGUGAAUUAAUGAUCUUAAAAACCAAUUUUACAUCUAUUUCAUUGAUUUUUGUAAUCUUUCUUUCUUUUAAGAAUAGUAUUUCAUUUAUCGUAUAUUAUUUUGUGAACCAACAGAUUAACAACUUUUGCAAUAAAUAAUUCAGCUAAAUGUAUCUAAGCACUAUGUAAUAGUUUCAAUUUUAGAUGGCUGAAACCCAAAAUUAUAAAAAUAAAUAAAAACCCGUAGUUUUACCCAGAAAUAUUAGAAAGAUUUAGCCAUAUAGAGUUACGUUCCAGCUGUGUAAUUUGGAGCUAUGUUGUUCGAAUGUAGAGAUGAUGUGCAGCUGCAACAGCCAUUGAAGUUUCAUUCAAUUACUUUGAGUGUUCUAUAGCAAAUUCUGGUAAAUUGUUUCUUCCUAUUUUGUGAACUCUUAAAAAAAAAAAAACAAAAACAAAAACAAAACAAAAGAAUCAAAGCAUUGCACAUAUUAGUAAUAUUUAUAAUUAAAAUACUUAUUGAUGCUUUUGUUUCUAACUUGUUCUUGUCUACGUGCAUUCUGAUAUUUUCUGGGAUUUCCUAUUUAUUUUAUUUUGCUUAGUUUUCUAUGUAAACAAAGUUAUUUGUGAUAAUUAGGACCGAGCACAUAAUUCUCUUUAUUUCAUAAAUUCCCAGGCAUACAGUAUCAUGAAAUAAAAUGAAGCUGCUAAAUUGUUACAUGAUCACUAUGGGACUUCUAACCACAAUUUUCCCCUUAGACUCGACCCAACUCAGUGAACCAAAUGUCUUAUUCAUCAUUUUACCUUCAAUCGUCAGAGUAAAGUUCUUCUUCUCAAAUUUCCUUUUGAACUCGAUUGUGUCCGGCGACACCCUGACACUCAAACCCUCAUAAAACUCUGAAAUCCUUGCCGUGUAAACCGAGCUCCCCUGGCCGACAUAAGUCACGGUCCUCCUAAAUUCUCUCACCGAAUUUGUUCCAUUUGCAUCAGAGAAGGUAAUGAAGGAGGGAUAAUUCAGAUCCAGCGACGGGUUUGUGCAACUAGAAAUCACCGACCUAGUAAUGGUCUGAAUUUGAUUCUUGGUGAAGUUCAUAGCGCAAAGAAAAUUCACAUAAUCUUCGGAGCUAGUGUCAUAUACAAGGCCUGGGUUUAGGGCCUUGUUGGGAUCUAUAUGACCUGCUCCGAUGCCGAGAGGAGAGGCAGGUUGACUUCUUUGUGAUCCGAGGUCUUGAAUUGAAUUGUUCAUGUUGUCGAGAACAUAGGAUGUUGUCAUCAUUGCUGAGCGAACGGCUGCAGGGCUCCAACGGGGAUGUGCCCCUUUAAGAAGGGCCGCUACUCCUGCCGCAUGUGGACAGGACAUCGAAGUGCCCGAUAUGAUAUUGAAAUUUCCGAAGAAAAUUUUUGAGGUCCCAAAAAAUAUGGGAGAGACGGGAGACCAGGAGGCCAAAAUAGAGUCACCUGGAGCAAGGAUAUCUGGCUUCAAGAUGUAUGGAGAGACCCUCGACGGGCCUCUGGAGCUGUACUUUGCCAAUUGUGGCGACGGCUUUGCAUUGAAGCGUGUUUCGUGGAACUUGAAGCUCGCCUGUUUAGCCUCGGGGGAGCCGUUGGUGAUGUAAUCGACGAGUUUCUUUCCUUGUUUGAGUUCCAAAAAUAGGGUGGGAGUUGUAGUGCGGAUGAAGAACUCGAUCGUGUCCGUAUCGUUCGAUACGAAGACAGCUCCAACGACGCUUGAAUUUUGGACGCGGACGACUUGCAGGCCUAACGUAUUAGUUAUGUCAAGGCACACAACAAUCUUCCCCCUUGCUUUCUCCAAGGAGCCCUCGUUUUGACAUGCAACAACGUAGACGAUUGAGAAGUACUUUUCGGCGGGAAACUUUCCGGGGUAGAGGGAUUGUCCCGUGACAGAAUAGCCAUCGCUGAGGUGUAGGGUCCCUUCAAAUUUUCUGUCUAGUGUACCGGCAGCUACAUUCAGAACCCACGGAUAUCCGUUGUGGAGGGUCCCGUCGUUUGGCCCCGCAUUGCCUGCUGAUGUAGAGACAAAGAUUCCCUUCUCCAUGGCUGCGAAGGCCCCCACAGCAAUAGGAUCCUCGUCCAGGGCUAAACUAUCGAAGCCUAACGACAUGGACAAGACGUCAACACCAUCGUCAAUAGCUUGAUCCACCGCCGCAAGAACAUCCGACACAACGCCGUCUCCGCCCGACACUACUUUGUACAUCGCGAUUCGGGCCUUUGGAGCUACGCCUCUGGCAGUCCCGGCGGCAUAACCGUAGAAGGCUGCAUCCUCCACAUAAUUACCCGCAGCGGUGCUCGACGUGUGCGUCCCAUGCCCCUCCGUGUCGCGGGGUGAACUCAUACUCAUUUCCGGUUUCUUGGCCAACAUGCCCUUGCCGAAGGACCUUGCUCCAAUCAAUUUUCGAUUGCACAAUGAGGAGUUGAAAUCCGAGCAACUCUCGCAGACUCCUCUCCACCUUGAAGGAAUCUCGCCAAUGCCGUCGUCUUUGAAACUUUUGCUUUCUGGCCAGAUACCGGUAUCCACUAGACCAAUGAUGACGUUGUCGCCAUAAUUGGAAGCUGGCCAAGCCCCGUGGUCGUGGUUGAGGCCGAGAAACCGGUAGGAAUGGGUGGUAUCAAGUUUAACGGGCUUAUCUUUCGUUGAAGAAAGAUAACCUGGUAGUGUCUUGACGGCCUCGAGCUCAGCUGACGAGAGAAUAGCGCUGAACCCGUUGAUGGCAUUUGAGUAGGUGUAAAGAAGCCUGGAGGAGGAAGGUGGUGAUGACGAAUCUGCUACGGUGGCAAGCGAGCUAGUAUACCAUGAAUGAUGACUGGUGAAUGGUUUGGGCAUUAGCGAAACGUCCAUAUGGACGAUGUACGUUUCGUAUGCUUUCGAUAUCGACUGUUGGGAUGCAACGGAAAGGAAGAAAAAGCAGAGGAAUACAUAGUUUGAACAAGUUCCCAUAUUGCAAUUGUUUUUGGCUGCUCUGCUGUUUUUCGUGAAUUGAUUCAUUGUUUUAUAGAGGGAAGGGGUCCCCAAAUUCAUUGUUAAAUUCUUUCCUUGUAUUAAUUUUUAAAUAUAAAUCUUUAUUAUGUUUUUAUUUUUUCGAAAAUUUAUUAGCUAAUAAAUUUUGUGCAGCGGUAUUAGGGGCAUUCAACAAUCAUAAAAACAGGGUUAAGGGGUUUAAAUUUAGACAAGCCUUAUCUUAAAAGGGUGUUUGUAAUUGUAUACACAUAAUUCAAUAGUGGUAACUGGUAAGUGUAUUUGACCUAACCCUUUAAUUUAAAAUUUAAUGAAUAAACUUUUUUUUUUUUUGAUUUACAUGAUCUAAAAUUGUAAAGGUAAAAAAGAAAAAAAAUGAUUUCUUGUAUGUCAUGGGCAGUUUGAGAAUUACAUUCAAAAGCUUCCAUUCAACAUAUGUACAAACCCUAGAUUUUAAAAUUAAAAUAAUUGAUUUUUAUAUUAAUUUAACUUUAAGAUACCUGCAAAAAAAAAAAAAAAAAAAACCCGAACAUAUUUUGUUAUUUAUUCAGUUUAUUUAUAAAAUGAUUGUUUCUAAGAUCUAAUGACUAUCUUUUUUUUAAACAUAGUCAUUGUUAAACUUCUAUUAGUUCUAUAUUGUAUUAUCUUUUUUUUUAUUAACUAAUUAAUUUACUUAUAAACUUUAUGAUCAUGUAACUAAUGAUGUCUCAUACCAUUAUAACAUUAGACACGUAUAGUUCAAUUGUGGUACGAGUGUUUAUUAGUCCUUUAAUUG
rnacentral:lncRNA from 1 species